rnacentral:lncRNA from 1 species
AUAUGCAACUAGCGUGUCCGUCUAACCAAGUUUAUUGACUGUUUAUGGAGCAUUUGGUUACAUCAAUCGUAUUAAGUGGACAUGUUCAAUCACAUGCUGGUCGUUACAUCGAACCUGAUUUGUUUUCUGCCGCUAGGUUUUCCAUCUGAUUUCGAAGCCCUUGUGGUACUUCUCGGAUGCGUUUGAUCAUGGCAUUUGGUAUGCCUUUCCUUUGCUUGUGUUGGAUUCACAACCAUUUAUUAAGGUAGUUGGUUUGAAAACUGCGUGUUGUGGGACCUAUCUCUUGUUUUGAGAGGGCAGCAGGUAUUUACAGUGAUAGUCCUUUUUGUUAUGAAGUCUAAGAAGUUCAGAUCAUUCAGAGGGAGGGGGGCAAUCAGUUGGGUGGAGUUGUUUGCUUGGCAAGGCUGACUCGAAGCCAGGAUUGGUGUGCCUAGUGCAUCGUCACUUAUCUCUGUAGGCAUGCUCCGGUCGAUGAGUAACCUCGUAAUCGAGGUGAACAAAAGCUCGUUCAAUCUCCGGUAGCGACUCAAGUUUGUCUUGAAGUGAUUCGCCAAUAUCAUGUGCCUGGCGCAGAGGCAUGUCCGCUGCCAGCACAAUAUCGACUUCUGCAAAGUAAUGUGACCCAAAGGUGUAUGCACGGACGGGGUCAAUUUGAGGCAUCUCCUACUGAUGAUUCCAGAAUAGAUAUGUCACCUCACGUAAUAUGUCUGUGGAGGAGAGGCUGAUCGACUACCCAAUGCGGUCCCAUUUUCUAGAACUGGUAGCGACCACGUCCGUGUACUUUUGUAACGUACAUUGAUUCUAUAAAGCAGAAAUACUUGUUUUUGCUUGAUGUCUCUAUAUAUUCACUUUAUUCCACAAUGUUACUUUAGCCAUAGUAACAUUGCUUGUUUGUGUGCUUGUUGUUUAAACCACAGAACUUUCUAUUUUGGUAAGGAAUUAGAAUCUAAGAUAUUGUUGUACUUUUAAUAUUUCAAUUCCAUACAUAAAAAGAUUUUGGAAUAAUUUUGGAAAGAAAUUGAGUUGAGUAUCCCAUUAAUUUUUGUUUAAGAAUCAAUGUUUAAGAAUCAAUGUUAUUAGUCAAUUCUACCUAAAGUCCAUAGAAAUGUUGAAGGUCUUUGUCAAUUAUGUUUUUGGCUUCAACUUUGAUAACUAUUUUUAUAAUCUUAGCAAUGCAAAUUGAUUUUUGUGUCUUAUAGAUCUUUUCUAUUUUUUUAAAGUUGUGUUUACCAUUUUUUAAAUGUAGAAUUAAUAAAUGAAAUUUUUUGACUUAUAAAAUGUAUAUAUUAAGUUGUGUUGACAAUGUGGCUACUAACUCUUUUUUGCCAUGCAUGCACCUCUAUAAUAUGGUACUAUGUCAAUUAAAACAAGUGAGCUUUUUUAUAUAUUUUUUUCUUCUUAUUUUAGACUUUAGUCCACUUUUAUAAUUAAUUGAAAGAUAAAAUUCUUUCCAAUUUUAUUAUAACAACAUUUCAAAUGAUGUCUUGUUUUUGCAAUAUCAAGUAAUUUAGUUAUCUAUAUAAUAUAUAAAUAGGAUCUAAUUAGACUAUAGAUAUUUAUUUGAGUUUCUAAUGAGAUAAUAUGUCUUUGUGUAAUUUAAAAGGGAGACUUGCAUCUUUGGACCUUAUCUAAUAAGUUUAAUUCUUAUUGAUUUGAGUAGAUCAAAGACAUUGGUCACAAAAGUACUUCCUUUUGCUUCCUACGUCUUAUAUUGUGACUCUUAUUUGUUUGUGAUUUUAGCCAAGCUAUUAGUACUAUACAUAAUAUAGGCUUUGAUCUAAAUUAAAAUCUAUAGUUUAUUGAUACUAAUAUUGGUUUAGAACUUUAUAAUAUUUUGAUGUUUUAUUUUUAAAUUCUAUAUAAUCUUUUGUCAUGGAUAUACAUAUUUAUUCUAAUAUUUACCAAUAUAAUUAAGUAGAAAUAGAUAAAAAUAGAUUUAUUUCAUAAUAUUUUUUAAAAAAGCUUCAUAGAUACUAUUUUUACUUUAAAUAUAUUUUUAGUUGAUUGAUAGGUUAGAAACUUAGUUAAUAAGUUAAUUACAUGUUAGUAGCUUACAAAACAAGCUAAUAAUAUGGCACACAUAUAAAACAAAAUUGUCUUGCAAGUUAAGAUAUGUAUCUUGCAAAGUCAAUAUGUUUUAGAGGUCCUAUAUGAUAUCAACACAUAGCUCCUAGUUAAGAAUAUAUAUGGAAGUAAGAGUGAAGUCUUUUUCACUCCUAUCAACGCCUUUCUAGUCCUUAGUCUUGUUUUAAGACUUUCUAAUCUUCUUGUCUUGGGCAAUAACCAUUCUAGUUUAAUACUAUAUCAUCUUCAAGUGAUUUUCUAAUCUUUUUAAAUGACACAAGAGUGUAUUGAGGUUUUCUUUCUUUGAGAUUCAUGUCCUUUACAUCUCCUCUAUAGAUCACUCACAUCCAUUCUUUAAUUUUUAUUCAUGAAUUUGAAAUUGAUAGGAGAUGGUGUUAUUAUUGAAUAAAUUUGAUGGUAAACACUUUUUAAGCACCAAACUUUGCCAUAAUGAGUCCAAAUUUCUAUUGUACCUCCAAAAUAUAAAAGAAUUAAAAAAAUGUAAAAAAAUCUAUAUAUUUUUAUACAUAUAUAGUUUAUUUCUAUAUAAAUUAUCUAUAUUAGAUUUUAAAAAUCAAAGAUAGAUGGUUGGAAUUAAAAAAUAAUACUAUAUAUUUAAUUAAGAAAUUUAUUGCAACAAGUAAGAAAAAUUUAAGUAGAAUUAGGAAAAAGGGUCUUUCUUGCUACCAAAAUCUUAUACCACAUAAUAAACUUUUAUUAGCUUUGAUGUUCUAUAAUAAUAUAGAAUUUUAAUCUUUAUUUCUAUUAUUUAUUUUUACAAGUGAUUUAAACAUUAAUGCUACUAUAGCUUUACUUAAGCUAAUAAGAUUGGUCUUGUCUUUAUUGAUGGAUUAACAAUAUUAUAACCAUCCAAUAUUGGUUAAAGUACGUUGCAUUGUCAUGUGGUAGCAUGGCUAUAUAGUAAAAAAUAAAAAUAUAGAUAUUAUUAUAAAAGAGCCUAAUAAAAAGAUGUAGUAGAAAAAUAAGGAUAAAUAAUAGAAAGAGAGUAAUAGAUUUAGUCUUAAUAUUACUUUUUGUAAAAGGAAUACUUCUAUUUACUUUGUAGAUGCAUAAAUAAGCCAAAUCAAAGUAAAUAAGAUAAGAAAUUGAUAUAGACAUGUUUAAGAAAGAGUUAAUAUAAGAUUAAAGUAAAACUUAAAUCACAUUACCAAAAAUUAAUGCCUACAAAGGACCAAAUAUUAAUUUGGAUCAAAAUCAAAUCUUGAUGUACAAAACUAUCUCUAUAUAAUGAAUUUAGGAUUUGUUUGUAGAUUAGAGAAUAAAAUACAAGAAAAAACUAGAGGAGAGAUUUUUUAGCAUUGGUUUCAUGUUAUUUGGAUCAAUAUUAAGAUUUUGAGGAAUUUUUAAAAUUCAUAAUAUUCUUAGUAGGUUUAGGUUUUAAAAAAAAUAAUUGUUUAUAAAUUUGAAGGUUUCUUGAGUUUUGUGGUGUAUAUAUGAGUGAAAUUUGGGAAAUAUAUUGGUGUGCUUGUUUUGAAUGAGUAUGCAAAUUUUGAGAUUGAUUGAAUAGUUAGAUUGAAGUAUAUGAGGGUUUUUAUAGGUUGAGGUCUCAAAAAUUGGAGUUUGAAGGUCAAUGAGUGUUUCUAAGAUCAUCAGCAAUUUUUUAAUUGGAUUGAAGUGAAUUUUUUUUGUAUAGACAGUAGACUCAAUUUCUAAGGUUUAGGUGGGAUUUAAGAAUAGUUUAAUAAUUCAAAAAGAAGAUAUUAGAGCUAGAAUUUUAGCAUUAAGGUUAAAAUAGGAGGCUACUCAACAUCCAAUUGGAUUAUCUUGCAUCUCUCUCAAUUGAUAAGUGCAAUCGAUUUCAUCUUUCUUAUGCUUUUUUUUAACUUAGACAUUAAGAAGUGUACAAAUUUUGAAUUGAUAUUAAUAUUUUGAUCAUUAAUUUUUGAGAUUUCAAUCAUCUAAAGGAUUUGUUAAGAAUUCGUUUAAGAUUUAGAAUUUAAUUAGGAUUUGCUUAGGAUUUGGUUAAGGAUUUGUUUAUGAUUUAGGAUUUAUUAAGAUUUUAUUAGGAUUUGAUCUAGGAUUUGGUUAAGGUUUAAUUAGGAUUUCAAUUAAGAUUUGAUUUAAGAUUAAUUUAGAUUUAUUAGAAUUUUAAUUAAGAUUAAAUUAGUAUUUUAUUAGGAUUCAUUUAUGAUUUAUGAUUUUUAUUAUUUCUUUAAGAUUCUAUAUUUUUUCUUCAAAAGUUUUAUUUCUAAUAUUUUUUUAAUAUAUAUAUAUAUAUAUAUAUAUAUAUAUAUAUAUAUAUAUACUUUAUUUUAAAGAUUAAUUUAGGACUUAUAUGUAUUUUUUUUUACAACUUCUUUUAAAUUUAUCUUAGAUUGGUUAAAAUUUGAUUAGAAUUAUUAAGAUUUACUUAAAGUUUAUUUGAAAUUCUAUUAAACUUGGUAGGAUUUUUGUUGCAUUUCUAUUUAUCUUCCAUAGUUAGGUGCUUGGUACAUUCUCAAGCAAGAAUACACAUAAUACAACAACGUAGUCUUAUCUGCAAUGUAAUUUUUAAAUGAUGCUUUAAUCUUUGUUUUUGUUUUUUUGUACCUUUUUAAAUUAACAUGAAAAAAUUUAUUAUUGAAAUAGGCAAUUUUUUUACAAUUUUAUCUUUAUUUGUAAUUUGAAUUGUCACAAAAUAUUAAUGAUUUAUUUAUUUUUUAUUUUAUUUUUAUUUUUUUAAUAGCUAUUAGAUUUAUUUUAAUUCAAGAUGAAUUUCAAUUCUAAGAAAAAUAUCUCAAGCGUGUAUAUGGUAUUUUAGAUCAUCUUUAUUUUCUUAAUAGGAUUAGAGAGGUAUCAUCCGCAUAUUAUACCAUGAUAUGUUGUCAAUUAGUCAUUGUUAAUUAAAUAGCACUGAUUUAACAAAGCUUUGCUUCUUUAUCAAUCAUGGCAUUGAAUACGUCAAGAAUGAUAAAGAAGAAAUAAGGUAUAAGUGGGCAUCAUUGUUAUAUCCAUCUUUUAAUUUUAAACAAAUUGGAGAGUGAACCAUUAAUUUUUACUCAAACACUUGUAUUAAUAAAUAAUAAACAGAUCAUGUAGAUAGAUUCUAUAGAAAAGCCUAUGAUAGACAUUAUUUGAAGCAAAAGAUCUCAAUCUAUCAUUUUAUAUGCCUUCAAGAAGUCAAGCUUAAGAAAGAAUAGAAGUUAUCUUAACUUUUCUAUUUACACCAUAGUUUCAUGUAUUAGUAAGAAGUUGUUUAGUAUGAACUACAUGGAUAAAAAAACUAACUAGUAUCUACUAUUUUUUUUUCAUAAGUAUGGGCUGUAAGCAUAAUUAUAAAGCUUUUGCAUAUAUUUUGUAUCGAAUAUUGAAGAAAAUAAUUGACUUCUAGUUUGUAAAAUUGCAUUGGAUUUGUCUCUUGUGUGACAAUGAUAUCAUCUCUUGCAUGACAUUAAGUAAUAGAUGGUCAUAAUUUAUGUUCUCUUCUAACAUAACAAAAUAAUAUAAUCGAAUUAUAUUUUAUUAAUUUUUAUAAAUCUUAAAAAUGAUGCCAUAUGAUUCUAGUAAUUUGUCCACAUACAUGUCCUUCAAGGCUACCAUAAAUAUUGCCAAUGUAAAGAAGGUAUGGAAUAUUUCUUUUUUAGCAAUAUCUAACUAAUAAAAAAUGUAGCUAAUUGCUUAGUUUCUUGCACCUUUUGUUGUAAUAGUAGUUGAUUAGAUUGAAUACAAUUGGCUAUAAAAACUUUGAUAGAUAUAAGUAAGAGUGGCUUUGCUAUUAUAGAUCUAGUCAUGCUUGUCAACUAACUUGGUAAUAUUCAAUACUAUAGACUUUUUCUUAUGUACUUGAAAAAUAUUUUUUUGUGCAAAAAUCAUUCAAUUUUUGUUAUUUUAGGCAAGACCAAGUAUUUUAUUUUUUAUUUUUUAUUUUUUUAUUUUAGACAAGAUCAAAUAUUUUAUUCUUUUAUUUUCUAUUUUUUUAUGUUAUUACAAUUGGUUGGUACAAUUGGCCAUCACAAUUUAGCACAUUGCAUUUUUUAGGUCUUAUUGUAAGAUAGUCAUUGUUGUAGCAAGUUGUAGCCAUAAAGAGGCAUCUUCAUGUUGUCAUUUGACCACCUUGUCUAUUUAGUAUAUUUUAUAAAACUUCAAGUAUCAUCAAAGUUUACUAUAAAUAGAUAAAGAUAGAUUUAAAGUCUAUAAGCUUCAAAUCUUAAUUUAAACUAUUUUAUUUGAGAGAUAAUAAAUAUUCAUUAUAUAUGGAAAUAUUUACUUGGCCUUAGGUUGAAACCAUAUAUGUUACCAAACAAAGAAAUAAUUUGAGUGUAGACUAUCGCCUAAUAAUAAGUAAUCAAUACUUGUAGUUACCAAUCUUGGUGAUAUAAAUGGAUAUACACAAUUGAAUCUAGCCAUUGUGUAUGUAUUAUUACUCUAUUAGCUAUUUCAACUAUACUUAGGUCCAUUUAAUAGGAACUUAUUUUUCAAUCUAGAAUAAUAUUGUAAGAAAAGUAAAUAAUCCAUGUUUAUUUUUUAAUAUGAUAGAAUCAUUAAUAUUUGAUUCUUCAGUUAGACUUUUUAUAUAAUAUAAGUCUCUUAUGAAAAUCUAUUAAAAAUCUACUAAAAAUGUGAUUAAUAUUUUUUUCUAUAGUACACAUCAUUUCAUUGUUUAGUAUAGAAUAUAUAUAUUAAGAAUAGCUAUGUUUGCUCUUUGCACCUCAUGUACUUGCUUCUACUAUGUUUGAUCAGUAUUAGAGUGGUUUGAUUGUUCUAUGAGAUGCAAAAUAUAAAAAAAAAAAUCAUAAAUAAAUACUUCUAUUGCUCGCUCCUAUCUUAUGUAUCUUAUUAUUAUAGGCAACAUCUUCUUCUUAAUUAAAGAAACCAGCUUUGAGUUUCAUUUAUUUUUUAAUACUAACAACUUUAUAUCAUAGAGAUUAUGUUUUUGUAUACAAAUAAAAUCUAACUUAGAUAUAUAGGCAUGAAGGUAAUUACAAAAUAUAUCUAUUUUAAUAAAAUCAUUAAGAUUUUUGCUCAUUUUGUAUUGUCACAAAGAUUUUCAUUCAAUAAAAGAAAGAAAAAGAAGAGAUUAAACUUCAUAUUUUAUGUUCAUGAUUCAAUGCACAAAGUCUGCUGAUUUUUCUCUUUGUUGGAAGUAAUAGAAAGAUCUUUAAUGUUGUGAUAAUUUUAUAUAUUGGUUUUUUUUAGCCAUUGUCUUAUUUGAAAAAAGAGUCAGUAUAAGUGAUUUUAACAAGUCAAUUGAUAUUCUUUGCUUCUGUAGCCAUUCAAUAAAAUAUAUAUAUAUAUAUAUAUAUAUAUAUAUAUAUAUGCAAUAAGUUCUCAAUUUGUUCUUUAUGACAGUCAUACUACAUUCUCAAGUGACUAAAAUAUACUCUUUGAUCUAAUAUCAGUUGCAACAAAUUACACUAGAUGUAGAAUUUCUAACAUAUCAAGGUAGCUUUUAUUAUAUACACUCACAAAAAAAGACUAAAAUAUGUGACUUAAUAUAGAUAGAUUAAGUUGGAAGCCAUGGCUAGAGAUGUAUAUAUUAAGGUUUAAAAGGACUAAUUUGUAUCUUUGCUCCCACAAGAUUCUUUAAUCUAAGCUUGAUCUAUGUCAAAUCGAUGUGUAUCAAAAAAGCACAAUGAUCAUUAACAUAUCAUCUUGAGUUCUUGAAUAGUGUCAAAUAAAUAUGGCAAAGGAAGGAGGCUUCAUUUCUUAAUACAUUUGAUAUCAAUGAACUAUUUAUUAAUUAUUCAAUGACAAGUGAGAUCUUUGAAAAUUGUUAAGACUAACUUUUUUACUUCUAAAUAAUAAAAAAAUAAUCAUGAUUAGCUGGUUUAAUCUCCCUCUUCUUCUUAUUUGGAUUAUUAUAAUAUUUUUAAGGCAAUAGUAGAUAUAUUAGUAUGUACUUAGCUAUUCCACUUAUUAUAACUUUUAUUAGAUUUAUUAAGAUCUAAAAAAAUUUUAUAUUAAGUAAUAAUUCAUAUCCUUAUUCUCUUUAUCUUGUCUGCCAUAUUGCCUAGUUUGGAUUUGAUUAUUAUAAGAUUUACUAUGUUGUUCUAAUUAAUUUUUUUUAUUAGGUUGGCAAAGUCCUCAUUUUUUUGUCAAUUGGCCAGAACUAGCAUUAAAACCAAUCAACAAUGUCUAUAAUAGUGGCACUUCUAUUCCUUAAAGAGGUGGUAUAAAAUUUUUUUUGGACACGAGUGGAAUUAUUUGGUUAAUAUGUGUUUGUAGUGUUUGCCAAUAUUGAGAUGUCACUUAAUCUGUUGCCAAAUAGACUUGCAACUAUACUUCUUAUAUAUCUAUUUAUUAUUAUUUUAAUAAUAAUAAGUAUUUUCUAAUAAAAUAAGAUAUAAAGAGACGUGAACUACAUCAUAUUGAGAGAUUAUUGUAAUUAACUUAUAUGUGCAUCAUAUUGCCAUUCACUAAAUUGACUACAUUAAUUGCAAGGUUGUAUGAAAUAUUGGUUAUUAGCGUGAUGCAAAACUUUUGAUUUGUGCCAUAUUUGUUGCUCUAAUCUCUUUCUAAGAUAGCUUUAAGACUUAAAGUACUAUUUCUUAUAUUAUUCUUACAAUUGUGAGAGAAGGCUUUUAGUAUCAUCUAAAUUGGCAUCUUCAUUCUAAUAAGUUGACUAGAUUUAAAUCUUGACUUCUAUAGUUGAAGAAUGCAUGUUAUUUAUCAACUAAUAUGUAAAAUUUGUAUCAUUAUUCUUUAUAAUGCAACCUUGUUCUUACAAACUAUACUAAAAAAUCUAUGACUUAAAUUUUUUUUAAGAUAUUAUUCUUCUUUAAUCUAUGUUUUUAAAAAACUUAAAAAUUUAUGCAUUAUUUUUAUAAAUAAUCUACUAUCAAUAAAAUAGAUUAUUAUUAUAUAUUUUUAUAAAUAUUCUAUCUUCUAUUUAAAUUCUUUUUAUAUAAUCUAAUAUCUAAUACUUAUAUAUUUAAAGUAAAUAAAUAUAAAUACUUAUUAAAUCUUUUAAAAAAUAUUUAUUUGAGAUAAUAUAUAUAAAGAUGAUAUCUAUGAAGUUACCAAGGUUGGAUGUGAGUACCACUAGCUCUAGUUCUAUUGUAUUAUAGUAUUUUACUUGUAUCUUUUAUCUAAAGAAGUAGGAACUAUGGAAUGUAGGUGUCAAGGACACAAAAUUUAAAGAAAAAAAUCCUCAAUAUACUCUUGUGUCAUUCAAAAGAACUAAAAAGUCACUCAAAGAUGGUAAAAUAUUAAAUUAAAAUGGCUAUUGUCAAAAACAAGAAAACCAAAAAGUCUUGAAACAAGACUAAAGACUAGAAAGGCAUUGAUAAGAGUGAAGAAGGCUUUAUUUUUGCCUUUAUAUAUAUUCUUAACCUAGAAACUAUUUGGCAAUAUCUUAAAAAACGUCCAAAACAUGUUGACUUCCAUAAAAUAUAUAUCUUAAUUUGUAAGACAAGUUUUCUAUAUUUACACCACAUAGUUAGCUUGUUUUGUAAGCUAUCAACAUGUGAUUAACUUAUUAGCUAAGUUUAUAUCUUAUCAAUCAAUUAAAAAUAUAUAUAAAAUCAAAUCAAUAUCUAUGAAGCUUUUAAGAAGCUUUUCUAAAAAAUAUUAUGAAAUAAAUCCGUUUUUUACUUAUUUCUACUUAAUCAUAUAGAUAAAUAUUAUAAUAAAUAUGUAUAUCCAUAACAUUACCUCCCUUUCUAAUGACAAGUUGGACAUGUAGUCAUUGUAUAUUGAAGAAACCCAAGUUAUGGCAAAUCAUAUUUGUCACAUACUUUGAUCUUUGUUCUCUUUGUUCUCUUUGAAGAUGUUUGAUAGGUCCUUUCAGGCAUUGAUAGUGUACCAUAUCAAGAUAGAAAGGCCACCUUGUUAUUUGAUCAUUCUUGAAGCCUUUAUAACUCCUUUCAAAUAAAAUAUUUGGAACAUUGUCAAAAGUUGUUUCAAGCUCUAAUAAAAUCACCAAACAUUGGAAGUGUCUUUCAAGGUCACUAUAUCUAACCAUUUAUUCAAGAAAAGAUGUAUUAUUCUUCAGGAUCUUCAUCUCAAUUACAUCAUCUUAAAAGUUGUGACAAUCGCAAUGUUUCAUUUGAUAAGUCAAUAAGUGAUAGCUUUUGAGUUGAAUCUACUGAUCAUUAGUUCUUCAUCUCUUUAGUAUCAUAAAUACAAAAAAGUAUCAAACAAGAGUGGAAGGUAAAAUGCUAUCUUUUCUGGAUUUUAUUUCUUUAUAGCAAAGAUUUGUUAUUCUUCAUCUUGAUUUUGAUGGAAAUUGACAAUGAAAAAUUUCAACUUUCUUUAUUAUAUUUAUAAAAUUCUUUGCUAGCUUCCAUAUGCAUUUAUUAAUAUCAUAUCUGCGCUAAUAAAUAAGAUAUUCUAACACAUUUUGGCACUGUUAAAUUAUGUGAAGAUUUGCUCAAGAUUGUACUAAGCAUCUAAAUAUGGAAGGUAGAAUGGAAAUUACAACAAUAAAAUCCUAACUCUAAUAGAAUAUUAAAUAAAUUCUAAUUAAACCUUAAAAAUUCUAAGCAAGCUUUAAUCAUAUUCAAAAGAAACCUUAAAGAAAUUACAAAAGAAAUUAUAAAAAAUCUUAAAAGAAUUCAAAAAAAACUAUAAUAAAUCUUCAAAGAAUUCCUAAGAAAUUUUAAAGAAAUAUCAAAAUAUUAAAAAAUGCAUCUAAAAUAAAUCUCAACCAAAUCUUAAUUUAAUCUUAGUUAAAAUUCUAAUCGACUUCAAUCAAAUUCAAGGCCAAACCCUAAACUCUAAACUCUAAAACUUAAAUAAAUCUUAAAUCCUAAAUCUUAAGGAAAUAUCAAAUCUUAAAUAAAUCUUUAAUCAAAUCCUAAAUUCUAAUUCAAUCCUAAACUAUAAUCAAAUCUUAAUCAAAUCCUAAGCAAAUCCUAAAUCUUAAAUUUUAAAUCUUAAAUCCUACGCAAAUUCUAAGCAAAUCCUAAAUCCUAAAUCCUAAGCAAAUUCUAAUUCAAACCCUAAAUCUUAGUCCAAUCUAAAAUCUUAAUUAAACCUUAAAUAAAUCAUAAAUCCUAAUCUAAUCUUAAUCCUAAAUCAAACCUUAACCAAAAUCUAACCAACUCCAUCUAAUCUUGGCAUAAUUUAAAACCUCAAUAUCUAUCAAUUAAACUAUUGAUCUUCUUUAAAAUAUUCUAUACUUUUCAAAAAUUAAAUUAACAAAAAGCAUACAAAAUUUGAAGAUAAUUAUAUUUAUCAAAUAGAAGGAAAAUUCUAAAAUUUGCUUGAAUAUUGGCCUCCUACUUCAAUCUAAAUGUUGAACUUCAAGCACCAAUAUCUAUUUUUCAAACCAAUCAAUUAUUCUCAAAUCUCACAUAUGUGUAGCAAAUCAAGUCUAUUAUCUUUAUGCACAAAUUUCACUUUAAUUCAACUAGUAGAAUGCUAAAGAUCUUAGAAAUCCUACCUGUCCCUCAAAGUCCAAUUUCCAAGACCUCAACCUAUUUGAAAUUCAAUAAUCUUCAAUCCAACCAUUCGAUCAAGAUCAAACUUACAACAUAUAUUUUAGACAACUAUUUUAGAUAACUAUUUAUAUAAGUCCUCAAAAUCUAAAGCAUAGAUAUACCAUCAAAUUAACAAAAUUUUCCAAAAUAUAAUACCAUUUUUAUUUUACAUAUUCCAAAAUCAUCCAAAAUAAUUAUAACUUUGCAAAGCUUUUACAAAGUCAUUACAUACUCAAAUCACUCAAAAUUAGUACUUAAAGAAACCAUAUCAAGUCUGCUCAUAAAUCUUAUUCUUUCAUCUACCAAAGAAGCGUGGAGUUCUUAUAGGUGUUUAGUUUUGUACCUCAAGGUCUGAUUUUAAUCUAGAUUGAUAACCAGUCCUCUCCAAGUAUCAAAUUUUGUCUUUUUGAAUUAAUUUUUAUUCAAAUCAUCUUCUAACUUCUUAUAUAUAUUUAUAUUCUUUAUUUUUUUAAUUACCUUAUUUUGUAUUAUUUAUGGUCUUACAAAGUAAGUAGAAGCCUAUUUUAUAAAAAAGUAGUAUUUAUACUUUUAAUUUUACUUUCUUUUAGACUAUUAUAUAUUUUUUAAAAUAAUUUGCUAUAAUAUUUGAAGUAAGAUCUUCUAUAAUAUAAAAAUUUCUUCACCCUUUUCACCUAUUAGUCAUGUUACAGCAUGACAAUGCCACCUUAGUUCUAAAACUUCUUCUACUUUAAAUUCUUCAUUAUUAUCCACUUUUAUAGAGAGAGGUGGUAUUUUUCUUCUUCUUAAGAUAUUUAUUGUCUUAUGUGACUUAAGUAGAGUCAAAUAGAAUAUAAAAUAGAUCUUCAUAGAUUCUAGUAGAUGUAAUCAAUAAGCAAUAGGAUUGAUUUGUUCACUAAUAGGAAAAGGUCCAAGCCUACAAUAGAUAAUUUAUCACAAAGACAAGUAGUCUUGAUAUUUCUACAAAAUAGCCAUACCUUAUUAUCUACAUUAAAUUGUGGUUGUUCUUUACAAUACGCAUUUGCAUUGAUCUUUUUUUGUUCUUGAGCUUCUUUUAAUUGCGUCUUCACAAUUGCAUGUAGUUUCCAUAAACAACUUCUCAAAUCUUUUACUAUAAGAUAUCAAUUUUUAAAAAGUCAAAAGUAUCAAGUCAUGAAUCAUAAUCAUAAUUGAUAAAGAAAGAUGUUUGUUAAGUAGAAGAAUGUACCAAAUUAUUGUACGUAAACUUUACUAAUAGCAAAAGAGUUGUCCAAUCAUCUUGAGGAUAAUUAAUGAUACACCUCAAAUACCACUCCAAAACUUGAUUUAGCCAUUCUGUUUGUCCACGAGUUUGAAGAUAAAAAGCCAAAGAGAGUUCUAUAUCCACUUUUAAUAUUUUAAAAAGGGUUCUCUAAAAUCUUGAUAUAAAUUAAGUUUUCUUAUUUGAUAUAAUAUCUUUGAGUAAUCCAUGAUAAGAAUACAUGUGGUUAAAAAAAAACUUAGUCAUUUUUUCACCUGUGAUAGAUUUUGUACGUAGUGCAAAAUGUGCCAUCUUGGUAAAAAAAUAUACUAUCACAAAAUAUAGAAUCAUACAAACCUGAGAUUAAAAGAUUCAUGAUAAAAUCCAUAGAAAUAAAAAACCAUGGUUUUUUUAGAAUAGGUAAUAGUUGAAAAAAUUCAUAAUGUCGAUGAUGAAGAGUCUUAGAUCUUGAAAAAAUAUCAUAUGAUUGUAUAAAAACUUUGAUUGCCUUCUACAUUUGAGGCCACCAAAAAUCUCUAGAUAUUAGUUCAAAAAUCUUGUUGUAUUCAAAAUGUUCGAUUAUUAAGAAGUUAAGAUAAGUUUGAAGAAUACGUAAUUAUAUUUUGCCUUUUGAAAUAUAUAAUUUUCCUUUAAAGUAAAAUAAAUUAUUCUUAAAUUUGAACUUAAAAAUAUCAUGAGACUUAAAAGAAUUAUUUUUAAUAUCAUGAAGAAGGAAAUCAAAAGACAUACUUGAUUGAAUUUACUUGACAAAGAUUGAAUCAAUAGUCAAUGUUGAUUUUAUUGCUCAAAGAUGAAAAUACUUUGACUUAAAGAAAAUUGUUCUUUGUUUAUCAAAAGCUGCAUCUCCUUCUUUUGGUGCAAAAUAAAGAUGCUUAGAAAGAGCAAUGUGAUAAAUCUUAUCUAAAUCUACAAGUAAUCUUAAGAUCAAAUCUUGAUAAAAACAUACUCUAAUGGGCUUGGUAAUAAUUCAAAACAUGUGCCAAUAUGAACAACUAAAGAUUCUUGUGAUCGGUAUAUAUAAUAAUUCGACUAAAAGCGCCUUUUAGAUAAUGAUGUCAGUUUUCAAAUGAAUCAACAAUUGCAAAACCUCUUUAUUGUGGAUUUUGUAGUUAAUCUCAACUACUAAAAAUUUCCUAGAAUGAAAAGCAAUUGAAUAGAGUUUAUCACCUUCUUCCAUUUGUGAUAAAAUAUGAUCCAUAGUAAAAUCUAAUGCAUCUAUUUCCAUGAAGAACGUCUUAAAAAAAUUGACACAAUACAAAAUUGAUGCAAAAAUAAAUAUUACCUUUAAGGCUUCAAAAGAUGUUUUUUAUUUUUUUGUUCCACUAAAAGUUUGUCUUUAUAUAUUAGAUGUAUAAGAGGAGCCUCAACUUGAGAAAAAUUGUUGAAAAAUAUUUUAUAAUAAUUAAUAAUUCUAAAAAAAUAUUACAUAUCUUUGACUAUUUUUGUAACCUUUCAAUCCAUGAUAGUCUUGACCUUCUUAAGAUCCAUCAUUAAUCCUUUGUUGGAAAUAAUGUAUCUUAGAAAAUCAACUUGAGUAGUAUAAAACACACACUUUUUUAUCUUUGUAUAUAAUCCUACAUCUCUAAGUUUUUGUAAAAUACAAUGAACUUGAAGUUUACAUUCUUUUAUAUUCUUAAAAUAGAUUAGAAUGUUGGCUUAAUAAUGAAUAAUAAUAUUAUUAAAAAAUUCACAAAAGAUAUCAUUCAUGAGAUAUUAAAAAGUAGGUGGUGGAUUUAUGAGUCCAAAAGGUAUGAUAUUAUAUUCAAAAUAUCUAUAUUUAGUUUUAAAAGAAAUCUUCCACUCAUCUUUUUUUUUAAUAUAGACUACAUUGUAUGUUCUUUAUAGAUCUAUUUUUAUAUAGAUCUUUGCUUGAUUGAGUUAGACAAAAAGUCUUGAAAUCAAAGAUAAAAAAUACUUAUUUUUGAUAGUGAUCUUGUUAAGUUCAUGAUAGUCUAUGCUUAUUUACAGAGAUCUAUCUUUUUUCUUUACAAAUAAGAUAAGAGCUCUUGUUAGAAAUUUCGAAUAGCUUAUGAAGUAUUUAGCUAAUUUUUUAUUAAUGAAUUAUUUUACUAGAACUAAUUCAUUUUACAAUAAGCUAUAGAUUGCUUUGAAUGAUGGUUGAACUCCUUCUUAUAGAUCAAUUAUACAAUCAUAGAUUCAAUGCUCUAGAAGAAUAUCUAUCUAUAUAUAUAUAUAUAUAUAUAUAUUUUUUUUUUCAUUGUCUAAAUAUUGAUAUUAUCUAGAAAUAUCAUUUGACAUCUUUUUACUAUCAAAAAUGGAUGUAACAAAUAUAAUAAAAGAUGGCCUUUUAUUUGCCUCAUGCAUAAAAGCUCUUGCACUUAUUAUUAAGGGUUUGGAUGAACUAGACUUAUUUAUUUCUACUUCACUACUAGAAUUUUAAAUUAAACUAUAAAGAAAGUUGAAGUUACAAUAAAUCCAAUCUAUUUGAAGAUUUUAUUUUUCUAAAUACAAUAAUUCUAAAAUAACUAGAUUGGAGGAAGAUCAAAUCAUAUUAAAUAUUACUACCCUAUUAUGAUCUUUAAUUGCUACAUCUAAAGGAGCAGUCUCAUGAGUAACUUCUCGAAAAGACAACAAACAACCAUAUAUGACUUCGACAUGCACAAAUUUGAUUUCCUUGACAGAAGAUAAUUCUUAUUUUUUGACAAAGUUUUCAUCCGUAAAAGAGGAAAAGAGGUUAAGGUUCUUAAAUAUAAUGAUAUAAAAGCAUUGUGAUUUUAGGCUCCUACACAAACAACUAUUUUUUCGUUGUGGUUGCUAACAGUUCUAGAGAACGGAACCGCAUUGGGUAGUCGAUCAGCCUCUCCUCCACAGACAUAUUACGUGAGGUGACAUAUCUAUUCUGGAAUCAUCAGAAGGAGAUGCCUCAAAUUGACCCCGUCCGUGCAUACACCUUUGGGUCACAUUACUUUGCAGAAGUCGAUAUUGUGCUGGCAGCGGACAUGCCUCUGCGCCAGGCACAUGAUAUUGGCGAAUCACUUCAAGACAAACUUGAGUCGCUACCGGAGAUUGAACGAGCUUUUGUUCACCUCGAUUACGAGGUUACUCAUCGACCGGAGCAUGCCUACAGAGAUAAGUGACGAUGCACUAGGCGCACCAAUCCUGGCUUCGAGUCAGCCUUGCCAAGCAAACAACUCCACCCAACUGAUUGCCCCCCUCCCUCUGAAUGAUCUGAACUUCUUAGACUUCAUAACAAAAAGGACUAUCACUGUAAAUACCUGCUGCCCUCUCAAAACAAGAGAUAGGUCCCACAACACGCAGUUUUCAAACCAACUACCUUAAUAAAUGGUUGUGAAUCCAACACAAGCAAAGGAAAGGCAUACCAAAUGCCAUGAUCAAACGCAUCCGAGAAGUACCACAAGGGCUUCGAAAUCAGAUGGAAAACCUAGCGGCAGAAAACAAAUCAGGUUCGAUGUAACGACCAGCAUGUGAUUGAACAUGUCCACUUAAUACGAUUGAUGUAACCAAAUGCUCCAUAAACAGUCAAUAAACUUGGUUAGACGGACACGCUAGUUGCAUAUCCUCGAAUUGCCCGCGGAUGAUGAUGUGCGCUGUGUGCAUCACUUGUGAUGUCGGAGGAAGGAGUGAGCGACUGCGGGAGGUGUUGGGGGCAACGGAGCGGUGUGGUUGAGCGGGUCACCUCAUGUGGAACGGGGUGUUGUCAACAGAGAGGAAGGUCACCUUUUGGAUAGAGCUGUUUGAAUGUGUGCACAGUUGUUGACAUGACCGGAGAGCGGAGUUGAGAAUGCGUGGGGUGAUUGGAGUGAACGUUUGGGGGCUCGUGGAAGGAGCGUGGUCCAUCCCAACCAUGGUGGAGCGCAGCGGCGGCAAAUGCAGAAACGGCUCCGAGGAAAAGAAGGUGAUGGUGAGACCUGGACAGUGGGCGCAUCUGGGAGUGGGAUUACAGCCAGGAUGGAGCCAAAUACAUGGAUUCCGUCAAGGCAGCCAGGGGUGGCGCGGAGGGAACGAGGGACAAAAGCAGUCCCAGGACCGAAAGCCGGGACAGAAUCCGGUGGAAAGGGAGCGCUGGGGGAAGGGGGCAAGGGAUUUGCGACGGCGCAUGGGCCACUCAGCGGGGUCAGAGGGGGCGGCGGUGAGUGGUGCCUGGGGCGGGAUUGGGUUGAUAUUGAGAACCGGAUGAGAGACGUGCAUCGCCGUGGGAUCCGUGGCGCAAUGGUAGCGCGUCUGACUCCAGAUCAGAAGGUUGCGUGUUCGAUUCACGUCGGGUUCAAACUCCCGAAGGAAAUGGUGACUACCCUGCGGCCUCCCUAGUUCGCUUCGCCCCCGGCCCACCCUGAGCGGGGGGGUCUGAUUGUGGUCGGUCGAGGGGCGCUGACCGUGUGGCCCAAUGGAUAAGGCGCUUGCCUACGGAGCAAGAGAUUCUGGGUUCGAUCCCCAGCAUGGUCGUGGGUCGCCGGAAUUGUAGAUUGUGGCGCGUGUCAAUUUGGCCGAGUGGUUAAGGCGGCAGACUCGAAAUCUGCUGGGGUUUCCCCGCGCAGGUUCAAAUCCUGCAGUUGACGACUCCGCCGCUGCCCAUUGUUUCUCCUCCCCUUCCGCACUCUCGUUUUCGUGCCCCGCGCCCCCCUUCUCGAUUUUCCCUUCUCUUGAAUUACCCCAUUCUCCAGUUCUUUCGAUGCGAACCUCCUUCGGCUCAUUCCAUUUCCAUGCAGCAAAUGCCAUUUCAAUGAUUAAGCACUCCUUUCCAACACAUAACCUUCUCACAUUUCAUCCAAUAUGCACAACUCUUCUCUAACCAUCUUCAUUCCAAUUUACAAGCUGAGAGUGAUUUAUUUAAUUCCAAUUUACAAGCUUCUCUAACCAUCUUCAUUCCAAUUUACAAGCUGAGAGUGAUUUAUUUAAUUCCAAUUUACAAGCUGAGAGUGAUUUAUUUAAUUCCAAUUUACAAGCUGAGAGUGAUUUAUUUAAUUCCAAUUUACAAGCUGAGUGAUUUGUAUAGUUCCUAGUGUUAAAUACUCUUGACAAACUUUUAAUGACAAUUUCUAGUAUUGGCCCCCUCCUCUCUUAUGUUGGCACUACACUCUUUGUAAUAGAAAUUAUUAACAUAGUAGAUAAUCCGUAUCAUGCAAGAAAAUAAUAAAAAAAAAAAGAAACAAGGUUGCAAGAGCUUGAAUAAGAAGUCACAAAGUUUGCUUUUGUGAUUCUUAAAAUGAUAUCUUGUAUAUCAAGGAUGGUUGGAUGUCAUGAAGAAAGUUGGAAGUUUUGUGUUGUUCAUUAAGUUUAAUUCUGAUGGUUAAUUAAGUAGAUGGAAUUAAGAUAAAAAACCUAACAUAUUACACUUAGAAGAAAUACAAAUAGAUUUUCACUAUUGAAAGUUUUUGAAUGUGACCUUUGUAAACAAACCUAAUAUAUGAAUGAAUCACAAAUUAUUUAUUCAUUUUGGAUGAUCAUGAAUAUAUUAAUUUGUUAGGUUUUUUUAACUACUUAAGUAUCAUUUAGGAUUUAGAAGAUUUUAGGAGACAAAAUAUUCUUAUUAAGUUAAAAACUAAUAAAAUAGAAUCUUAGUAUGUCUUGAAGGCAAUUAUCUUAGUUAUUUUAGUACUUUUGUUUUUUCUUAUUUGUAGUAUUUUUAUUUUUUCUUAUUUUUAGUAAUAUGUAUUUAAAUAUGAGACUAAUGUUUAAAAAUAUCUUUUGUUUCUUAUAGUUUUUUAUAAACUUAUAAAUGAUACACAUUAGGAAUAUAAAUUUUAUUGAAGAAUCUUAUUUUUAAGUGAUUAUGUAGAUUCUAUAAUUAUUAGUUGAUUUAUAUUAGUUUUAUUAUUCUAAAAUAUUUUUAGAUAUGAUAAAGUAUCUUUAAUUUAAUAUUAACAUUAUAAUAUCAUAAAAAGAUUCCAAAGCAAUUAUUUCACAUUAAUUCGAUGUUUUCUAAAUAUUUUAAAAAUCUAUUUUAAAGAUUUUAGUAAAAAUAGUUUUACCAAUUUUAGAAGCUAUUAUAGAAAGUUGGAAGAAGAUUAAAAGGCAUCUUAUGGAUUCUAGACUAUUUAGGUUUUUUUUUAAACAUUAUAGACAUGUCAAAUUUCAUAAAAUAAAUUUUAUUAAAAAAGACAAGAAUUAUAAAUAGCUAUAAUAGUAGUUGUAGUAGUAGGAUGUUAUGUGUAUACAUUCUAUAUAGAUUGUAGUAUAUUAGAGAUUAUUUGGAAGAUAAAAGUAAAGACUUUUAGGUAUUUAUUUGAUAAACUUCUCCCAGAUCAAAGUAUAAGAAGUGGAAAUAAAAUUAUGUUUUUAUUUUAUGAAGCAAUAAAAAGCUAUUAUUAGCAAUAAUGAUAUCAUCCACAUAUACGAUGAGAAUGAUAAACUUUGAUCUAUAAUGAAUAUAAUAUAUGCUACCAUCAGUUGUUAAAUUUAUAAAUUCAAGAGUAUCGAGAAAUGUAUUGAUUAUCUUGAACUAUUCCUUGGGUGAUUGUUUCAAUUCAUAAAUGGUUUUGUGAAGGUGUCACACCAUAUGAAGUUAUAAAAAAAUGACUUUAUUUAAGAUCUUUACAUAUAUAUAUAUAUAUAUUUCUUCUUGAAAAGAUCUAUUUAAGAGUGUUAUUUUAAUGUUCAUUUGAUGUACAUAGAAAUCAAGUUGAACUGCUAAAGCAAACAUGAGUCAAAUUGAUUGUAUGCAAAUGACUAUUGAAAAAGGUUUUAUUGUAGCCUAAGCCUAGAAGUUGGUUGAAUUUAUUUGCCACAAGGUGUGCUUUGAAGCGAUCCACUACUCCAAAAAAAUUGAGCUUAAUUUUAAAUAUUUAUUCACAAGAGUAAAAAAAGACUUUACUUUUUUUUCCAUAUAUAAAAUAUACUUAGGAACUAUAUGAUAACAUUCUUUAAGACCUUCAACAAUUUUUUAUCUUGUAAGUCACAUGUUUAAUUUGCAUAAUAAGUUUCAUAUAUGAGUGCUACAUGACCAACUUAUUCUUCAAGUUGUUAAUAUGUGUAAUAUGCAGAAAACUUGUUGAUCAAAUUUUAAACUAUGAAUACAUAAAGAAUUAUAUCUGUACACAUAAAGUUUCUAAGAAGCUUUUUUAUAUGAUAUUAUCAAAUCUACCUACAUUUAAUUUUUAUCUAACAUUUAUUAUUUAGUUAGUUAUGUAUAUUUGUGACAUUAGCUUUCUUCUAAAAGAUAGAUGGAAAUAUAAAACAAUAAAUAGAACAUGGUCUUAGUCAAAAUGGGUAUUAAAAUCUCUUCAAUUAUUUACCACAUUUAGAGUCUAGAAUUUACAAAUCAUGUAACAACGUAUAGAUAUGUCAUUUGUAUAGUUAGUUAAAACCAUGGAAGUUUCUAGAAUUGGACUUAGGUUAGUGGACCAAAUAGGAUCGUCUGUAGAACAUUCUAGAAAAAUUUAAGGUGAUUAUUUAGAUGAGGCCCACCAUAGAGUUUUUUAGAAAAUGCUUAGGACAGUUAUUUAGAUAGGACCUACGAUAGAAUUUUCUAAAAAAAGAAUUUAAAGAAGUUAUAUAGAUAGAAUAUAUUUCUUAGGAAUAUUUUAGAAAGUCUAGGGUAGUAAGACAAGGUAUAAAUAGGACUUACUAAGGCUUUUUGAGAUAUCUAGUGAGAUAUGGCUUUAGAUCCUUUCAUUUAGUAAAGUUUGGUUUUGCAUCUUUUUGUUCACUUUUGUUAUGUUUUGUUUUCGUCUUCUAAGUUAUCUUUCAUGUACUAUUUUGUAUAGUUUCAUUCAAUUUUUUUUUAUUCUAUUUUAUCUUAAUUUGUGAUGAGAUAUUAUAUUGUUGUCAAAUAGAAGGAUCAUGGAUUUUUGAGAUGGUCUCGUCUUGUUUCAUUAAUAUUUGAGUAAAUAUUAGAAUAUUUAUUUUUAGUAGUAUAUGAAUAAUCAUUAUAUAGUUCAAGGUCAAUUGUUGUCAUCACGUUGGAUAUUGUGUUGAGGCUAUUAUGAGCUACUCUUCAAAAGUCAAUUAGGAGGUGAAAAGAUAUUAUAAUAAUACAUUUCAAUAGAAAAAUUAUAGUAUGGAAAAUAUGGCAGAGCAAUCCCUGAUGGAGGCUCAAAUACAAUACUUCCUUGGCCAAAUAGCUACUUUGCAAGGGCAAAUAGAAGCCUUGAGGACAAGAGAGUCGACAUUAGCUAGGUUAAAAUUGAAUAAACUUAGUACGUACUCUGAGACUUGAAGACAAGAAGAUAUAUGUCAAUGGCUCUUUAAUAUAUGACAAUACCUCCAACUAUUUGAGGCAAAUACCAUUGAACGAAUUAUAUAUGCAGCUAGCUAUUUGAGGGAUGUGGCAGCCAUUUGGUGGUGACAUUGAGUUCAAAGCUAUAGAAGUCAAGGUGGAUUUUCAAACUGGGAGGAGUUUGAGAUCGAAUUCAGGAAUCAAUUUUGGCUCUUUAAUAUAGAGAAGAUAUCAUGAGAUCAAUUGGUAAAUCUUACAGAAGCUAGGUCAGUGUAAGUUUAUGUCUUUCGAUUCAAGUCCCUAUAUCUCUAAAUUGAUAAUAUUUUAAACACGGAAAUGAUAGAUUGAUUCCUACAAGGUUUGAAACUUGAGGUCCAAUGAGAGGUGGAGCUUAGGAAUGAGCAAACGUAUGAAGAUAUAAUUUGGAUUGCAGAGAGGAUUAAUGCUAUAGAUUUCAGAAAUUAUGGAGCAUUACCUAUAGCAUGAAAUCUUCUGUCGCACUAUAAUAUUAUGGCACAAUAACUAACACUAAUAGAGAUUGAUGCCUUACAAGAAUCAUUGACACUACAAAGACAACAUAUAUUGGUACAAAAGAGAUUGUGUUUCUAUUGUCGAGAGCUAAGCCAUCAAAUUAGAGGUUGCUAAAAACGUCAAAGUACAAGUAUUAGUAAGACAAGGCAAAUUUUCACUUUUGAAACUCACAAAGGUGAUAAUGAGUUAGAACAAAAAAACAAGGCUCUGUAAUAAAGGUACAAAUGGCCAGUGCUUUUUGUAGCUAUUGUCUUUCAAAGACAAAUGACAUAGCCUUGGAUAUCUAUAAAAAGAGCCUAUUUAUCCAUCUAAUGGUGUUGUAUUGUAACAUGACUAUAUGGUGAAAGAUGAUAACAUGGAGCUUAUUAUAGAAGAGCCAAUUUAAAAGAUAAAAUAAAAAAUAUAAAUAAAAAAUAAGAAGGUAGUAAAAUAUUUAGUAGUAAUGUUGUCUUUUUAGAAAGGUAGCUUCUAUUUACUUUAUCAUAGAUAAGGCAAAAUAAGGUACAUUGGAAAAAUAAAUGAUAUAAGCAUCUUUAGAAAGAAGUUAAGAGUAAAUUCUAACAAAAAUUAUCUAGAAAAAUUAUAUAUUGAUACUCAAAAAAGGCCGGUUGUGAAUCAGGAUCAAAAUCAAACCCUGAGGUACAAAAUCAAGCCUUGAUGAUGAUUUUAGGAUUCUUUUUGUAGUUUGGAGAAUGAAUUUUGAGAACAAACUAGAUAGGAUUUUUAUGGGCAUUAUUUUUGUAUGAUUUGGAUUCACAAUGACUUUGUAAGAACUUUACAAAGUUGAGUUUGUUUUCGGAUGACUUGGAUUUUGUGAAAUAAAAUAGGAUUGAUGUUUUGGACAAUUUCAAGAGUUUUGUAAUAGAUCUAUAGAUGAAAUUUUGUAGAUUAAUGGUUAUAAUUGUGUUUAAUAUGUAUUAUAAAUUUUAGCUAGAUCUAAUAAUUGAAUUAAAGGUUAUUGAGGUUUAAGUGGGUCUAGGUCUCAAAAAGUAGAAUUUUAGAUCCAGUGAGGGUUUUUAAGAUUUCUUACAAUCUACUAGUUAAAUUCGAAUAAAAAUUAUGUAUUUAAAUAGUAGACUUGUUUUUCUUUGUUUGUGAGAAUUUUAAGAUUAAUUGAAUGGUUUGAUGAGAAGAAAUUGGCACUAAAAAUUCAACAUUUAGAUUGGAAAAGAAGGCCAAUCCAAACCUAAGCACAUUUUUGUGAUUAUCAUCCAUUUGAAGUUAAGAAUAUUAUCUUGCUCUUCAAAAAUUUUGAGCUCAAUCCAAGAGUUGGAUUAGAAGAAAUCAAGUGCUAAAGUUUUAUAUUUUUGAAGGAUAUUGGUUUUUGCUACUGGAUAUUGCUUAUUGGUACUGGAUAUUGGUUUUUGCUACUAGAUAUUGGUUAUUACUACUAGAUAUUGGUUUUUACUACUGGAUAUUGGUUAUUGCUAUUAGAUAUUGGUUUUUGAUACUGGAUAUUGGUUUUUGCUACUACAAAUUGAUUAUUGCUAUUAGAUAUUGGUUUUUGCUACUACAAAUUGAUUAUUGCUAUUAGAUAUUGGUUUUUGGUACUGGAUAUUGGUUUUUGCUAUUGGAUAUUGGAAAUUGCUAUUGGAUAUUGGUUUUUGCUACUAGAUAUUGGUUAUUGCUAUUGGAUAUUGGUUAUUACUACUAGAUAUUGGUUAUUGCUAUUAGAUAUUGAUUAUUAUUACUAGAUAUUGGUUUUUGCUAUUAAUUAUUGACUAUUGCUAUUGGAUAUUGGUUACUGCUAUUGGUUUUUUGUUAUUGCUACUAGUUAUUGGUUAUUGUUAUUGGUUAUUGGCUACUGCUAUAAGUUAUUGGUCACUGUUAUUAAUUAUUGGUUAUUACUACUAAUUACUGUUAUCAAAGCUGAUUACUAUUACUAGUUAUUUGUUGUUACAAUUUUUCUUUUAUCUUCCAUAGCUAGGUACCCAAUGCAUUUUCAAGCUAAACGCAACGUAAUAUAAUAAUGACACUACUAAGGGGACAAUUAUGUCGAGUACUUGUAGAUUGUAGUUCUACAAAAAAUUAUAUCUCAACUAAAUUACCGAUGUUAGGGACAUAGUCCUUAGACCUUUCUAGAGACAAGUUUCUAGAACCUUCUAGAAAGAAGUCUCUAGAAACUUCCAGAAGAUUCCUUCAAUAUUCUCUUAGAAUAUUCUUCAAAGAUUCCCCAAAGAUUCUUCAAAGAUUCCCUAAAGAUUCCUUUAGAAGGCUCUAGAAGAUUCUUAGAAUAUUCUAGUAGAUUCUAGGAAGUUACUUGAGAAGCUUCCUAACUCUUGGGUAGUUGCUCGAGAAGCUUCAUAGUUCUUGGGAAGCUUCUUGAUGCGCUUCCUUAGAACCAUAGGCCAGUAGUAUAUAUAGGAGUCGAGGCUGAAGGGUUCUUCAGUCUCGACAACGCAUCUCUUGAAGCUCUAGCUCAAUUCUCCUAGCGUUACUCUUGUACUCAUCUGAUAAUCUAGUUCUUGUCAUUUCUUCUUGAACUUCUUGUUUAGAUUUCUUGUUUGUAUUUUUGGUCCGUGACAGUUUGUCGAGACUGCCUUUAUCUUAAUAUCAGAGCUGAAUCCUUCUUGUUUGAGAGCGGAUUGCCCCUCUUCUUGAAGGUAUUCUAGCGCUUUAGGGGUUGCGGAUUACCUUCCUCUAAACUGAUAUUUUCUCAAUCACAAUAUCAGAGCUUAGUUCUUUGAGGCAGAGAGUGGACUACCCCUUUCCUUGAAGAUACUUGAGCGUUCUAAGGGUUGCAGAUUACCCUCUCUUGGACUGAUAUCAAUUCCUUCUUUUUGUUUAGCAUAGCUAGUGGAAAAGACUGUUAACAUCGAUUUCAGAGCUUUGCCUUCUUGAUAGAGUGCGGAUUAUCCCUCUUCUCGAAAGCAUUGAGGCAUUUUUAGAGGUUGCGGAUUACCCUCCUCUAAAACUGAAAUCGUUUAGUGUUUUUUUUCUUUUCUCUUCUCCGAGUAGAUUUUAGUGACAGGUAGUGCUACAAUUUUUUCCAAGAGACUUAGCAAUUUCUUCUUCUCUCAAAAUUUUAAUCCAUCUAUUCUCUAAAUAUGGAAGUAGACCAGGUCAUAGACAGUGCAUUUCCACAAGUAGACAAUAGAGUGGCAACUCUUGCAGAUCUUCAAGCUCUUAUGAAUAGUGUAUGAAAGGAGAUUGCAUUUCUUUGCAAUCCAAGUAAAGAACCUCAAAUUGAUCUAGUGACCGAAGAAGCUAGACGCGAAAUUCAUAGCCUACAACAAGAGAUUAUUCGAUUGAGAGAAGCAAGACAUGUGUCACAUACGACCCCUAUAGAUACUUCAAGGAUUAGUACGAAAGAACCAAAAGCGAGUAUGCCAAACAAGUUUGACGGAAGAAGAGCCAACUUCCGAGGUUUUGUGCAACAAGUACGGCUUUACCUACGCCUAUACCCUUCUCGUUAUCCGAAUGGAUUUAUCCAGGUUGCUUUCAUAGGUACUCUUCUAUCAAGAAAUGCUCGCUCUUGGCUUGCUCCACUAUUGGAGAAGGAUUCUCCAAUAUUGUACGACCUAGAGGCUUUCAUAGAGAGACUUACUGUUGCGUUUGGAGAUAGCGAUCGAGAAAGAGUGGUUGAAAGAAAGAUACAAAAUCUGCGACAAGGAUCACGUUCUGCUGCAAUCUAUACUGCAGAAUUUCAACAGCUUACAUGUGAUCUUGAUUGGAAUGAUAAGGCAUUCAUGACACGAUUUCGAUAUGGACUAAGAGAUGAUAUCAAGAACUUAUUGAUCACCAUGCCUAAGGCGGAUACUUUAGAAGAACUUAUAUCUCAGGCAAUUAUUUGUGACAACCGCCUCUUUGAAUUACGAUAAGAAAGACGAUCAGGCUGGAGAAAUGAUAGAGCAUUUGCUACAUUUUCAAAAGGUCCAGAGAAUCACUCCACAGAUCCUGAACCCAUGCAAAUUGAUGCGGUACGUUUCAAACCCCUCACAGUUGAGGAAAGGAAGCGACGGUUUGAACAAAACUUGUAUUUAUAUUGCGGAGAAGUGGGCCAUAAAGCUGUAGAUUGUCGGAAGAAACAGAAGCCUCAAACAACAAGACUCAGGAGUAUAAGCAUGCAGGAAAACAAGGACGCCCAGCCACAAUAAGGACCGUGCGGCUGGACAUCUCAACAUCCAAAAUUAAUCAAGGUUCCUUUUUCUCAGCUCAACUUUCAGAUUGUUUUAUGGUACCUUUACAUCUGGGUAUUCAAGAACUAUAAGUCGAUGCUUUAUUAGACUCGGGUGCAUCCGUUUGCUUUAUAGAUGAAGAGUUUGCCAAGCUUCACAAUAUUUCUCUUGUAAAGAAACUUAAGCCUGUCCAUGUAGAAGUCAUAGACGGACGACCAUUGUCUUCGGGCAAUGUUAUCCAUGAAACUAAACCAUUGAAGGUACGUCUUGAAAACCACGAGAGCAAUAUUGUGUUUAAUGUUAUCAAGACCCUUUCAUGUCCUAUCAUUUUGGGACUAACUUGGCUUGAUAGAUAUAAUCCAUUGAUAGAUUGGAAGUUGCGGAAAGUGACAUUUCCAACAAACUCCUUGAAGGUGGAAUCUGCCAAGACAAUGUCUAGAAACAAAUCCUUGUUUAUAGGUGCAAGGGCUUUCAUGAAGGAAGCCAAGCAAAAUACACCUCUUGUCAUCUUCGCAACUCCGACUCGAGAAGAUGCAACUUCGACUUUGGUUAUUCCAAAGCAGUAUGAAGAAUUCAAAGAUGUCUUUGAAAAGAAGAAUGCUGAUAUGCUGCCAGAGCAUCGACCCUAUGACUGUGCCAUUGAAUUGCAAGAAGGAGCACAACCACCUUUUGGACCAAUCUACAAUUUGUCGCAGACGGAGUUGACUAAGUUGCGGAAGUACAUUGACGAGAAUCUAGCCAAGAACUUCAUCCGUCAUUCGAAGUCGCCAACUGGGGCACCAAUCUUAUUUGUGAAGAAGAAGGAUGGCUCACUACGGAUGUGCGUAGACUAUCGAGGUCUCAACAAGGUGACAAAAAAGAAUUGCUACCCACUGCCUUUGAUCUCUGGUCUUCUAGAACAACUUAGGCGUGCAAGGAUCUUUACAAAGAUUGACCUAAGGGGAGCUUACAACCUUGUGCGAAUCAAGGAAGGAGAUGAAUGGAAGACAGCUUUCCGAACAAGGUAUGGCCAUUUUGAAUACAAUGUCAUGCCAUUUGGUCUUACUAAUGCUCCAGCGGUCUUUCAACACAUGAUGAAUGACAUCUUUCGAGAGCAUCUAGACGAUUUUGUUGUCAUCUAUCUAGAUGAUAUUUUGAUAUUUUCUAAAAACGAGGAAGAACAUGAGAAGCACGUUCGUCUGGUACUCAAAAAACUACGGGAGCGAGGACUCUAUGCCAAAUUGGAGAAGUGCUUAUUUCACCAAAUUGAGAUGGAGUUUUUGGGAUUCAUCGCGACUACGGAAGGCUUGAAGAUGGAUCCAAAGAAGGUGGAAGCAAUCAUGUCUUGGAAAAAUCCGAAGACGGUUAGGGACGUACAAUGUUUUCUUGGAUUUGCUAACUACUAUCGGAUCUUCAUCAAGAAUUAUUCUCAAGUUGCUGCCCCUCUCACUCCGUUAACGUGCAAGGACAAGCUCGAAUGGAGACCUAUCGCAGAAAAAGCAUUUCAAGAUUUGAAGAUGGUAUUUAUUACAACUCCAAUCUUGGUACAUCCCGACUUUACAAAGGCCUUUUAUUUGGAGACAGAUGCUUUGGAUUUUGCUUUGAGAGCUGUACUUUCACAGAUGGGCGUAGAUGAGAAGCUCCAUCCAGUUGCGUUCUAUUCUUGAAAAUUCUCUGCUGCUGAGAUCAAUUAUGAGAUCCACGAUAAGGAACUCCUUGCUAUAGUAGAUUCUUUCCAAGAGUGGCGCCACUUUCUUGAAGGAACUACACAUCCAGUGGCCGUUGUCGUGUUGUAACACGAGUAUACAGUGAAAAUAAAAAGAAAGGGGAAUUUUAUUAAUAUUCAGUUACCUCGAAUAUUGGGAACAUCGACCAACUCCAGUACAAAUACUGAGUGGUCAGGUUCAGUGACUCCGUUACAGUCAGCCGGGGCAUACUGAAAUGCUCCGUUCGAUUCCAAUAACGGGAGUCAGCAGGAAGAGAAGGACCAAUUCACACGACGGGUUCGAGGAGCCAAUUGGAUCCAAUUUCGAUAAUCCAAUCCGGGUCCUCUUACCCAAUAUGAGACCUGUAUUGGUGGGGCAACCCAAUGCAGUCUAGUUACGGGAAAUCCAGGUCUUACUACGGGUCUUAGCCAAUCUGACGCGAGGACCAAUUUGACCCAAUUACGGGAACAUCCAGGUUACUACGGGCAUCUUUACCAAUAUAGGACCUGAAUUGGUCGGGCGACUCAAUGUGGUCCCGAUUACGGGGUUCGAUUCUGUUUCAGGCUGUCCUGUUCUCUGUGCUGUCUCAGGGAACGUUGUUUUCGGUAAAUGGAUUUCUUAAAGGCAAAAACAGAGGAGAAAGCUUGACGGCGAGAGCCAAUUUCGGAUCCAAGCUUGAGGUGGGAGCCAAUUCCGGAUCUAAGACGGAAGAUUGAAGAAAUUCAGAGGAUAAGGUUAGGUGGGAUAUAGUUUUGGGGGUGGUUUUUUUUUUUGAAGGGAAAUCGGGGGGGGAAGGAUUUUUUCAAGCUUUUGCAAGGUUACUAGUUCGGUUUUUUUUUUUGGAUGUUUUUGAAGAUCAAGGGAAUUAGAGAGAGGAGCUUCAUGCUUCGGGUCGGGGAAGGAAAGACAUAGAAUUUGGAUUUUUCUUCUUCGUAGAGUUUUGGGGAAGACUGAGGCAAUCGCUGCUGAAGUCAGUGUUGUAAUGGUGAAUCGGGAUUUUUAAAUGAAGUGGGUUUGAAUACUCUUGACUGUUUUGUGAAAUCGAGUUACGUCUGUGAUUGAAGGAUUAAAAGGGUGUCUAUAGGAUUGAGUAUGCGGAGUGAAUGAAAUUUAUUGGGUUAAUCUAACAAGACAGUCAGUGGAUACAAGAUCAUAAGUACAAAGCAAUAUUGAAGGUUAACAGUUUGGGUUGUACGGGGUUCUCUGUAACGCCUAGAGACCUACCGGCUGGGGCAAAAAGGACUUUGACAAGCAGUCGAAGAGCACCCGUAUAGAUUUACGGUACAUUUUUGCAGUCGUUUAUAUUCCAGCAGUCAAAAACUGAUAGACUGCUUGACUAUCGGCGAAUCUCCAUACUACCUUCUACAGCCAGACGCCCGGCGCGUUCUCGAGCAGGUAAGCACGUAAUACGACAUAAGUGGUGAACCCGACGUGAAAGCUUGAGGUAGAAGGUAUUGGAUUUCGGUUGAUUUUAUCUUUAUUUUUAUGGAAAACGAAAAUAAAAAUUUUGAAGGAUUUUUGGGAGAAGUUUCUGGUGGGGAGUCUUCUAAAGGACAAGGUAUGCACAUGGAUCCGUCUAUUGUUAGUUUGUUUCAAGCCUUCUCAUUGUCAAUGCAGCAACAGCAAAGCAAUGAUCGGAAGGAAGCUUUGGCAACCAAAGCAUUGCAAGCAGUGGUCAAUAAAAUUGAUGAAUUUGAUGGGAGGAAUAUUUCAAGGUAUUUAAGAUGUUAUGUUCGUGAAAUGGAAUUAAAUCGGGUUUCUGAGAAGAAAAUGGUUGCACUAUUUGGACUUGCCACGAUACCGGAGAUAAGGGACCACAUUACAUCGAUUACGGAUCGUUGUGGGAAUUCAUGGGAGGAUUUUUCACAUGCAUUGAAAGACGAAUAUUUCUUGGAAGAUACUGAUCGCGUUACUAAGAAGCUGUUUCUAGGAUGGAUUGAACGGCCCAAUAAGAAUUUGUAAGCAACAGAGCUACUAAGGGAAUUUGAGAGGCAGUACUCUCAAUUAUCGAAGGUAGAAAAAUUGACAUUGGAGCCGAACAAAGUUGAUCUAUUUCUUCAAGCUGCUGAUGGAGAAUUGCAAGAGAAAUUAGAACCCCUUCUUGAAGACAAAGAAGAAGAUGAAGGAUUGACAACGAAGUGGAAGAACGUUGAAGAUGCGGUGGGGUUGCUUACAAAAAAAGAAAGGAGGAAGGAUAGGAGCAAUAUUCCGAAAACAGUACAAGCACCCAAAGCUCCAGUACGUACAACACCACCGACAAUGCCUACAGUUCAACCUUCGACAUCCUUGUCAAUGAAAGCAGAUAUGGGUAUGGAAGAAAUUAUACGAGGAAUGCGAGAUCUUCAAAUCAAAUUGGCAAGACUUGAAGAGAAUACUUCUAUAAAUAAUUCGAAGAAUGUUUCAAAACAAGGAUAUGUACAAAGAUGCAUUUGGUGUGAUGAUGCUUCACACACUAGAAAAGAUUGCAAUGAAUUUAAUAAUAUGAUACGGCAGGGAAUUAUUUGCUAGAAAGAUGGGAAGAUAGCAUUGAAAGAUAGGGAGGAUCUUCUUCAAACCAAUUUUGGCAAGGGAGGAAUGAAAGCAUUGGUUCAAGAUUACUUAAAAGAGCAUGAAACAGUAGUACGAGAAAGUGCAAGUUAUGGUGCUAGAGUAGAUGAUGAAAUUGGUGGAAGUACGAAAACUAGUGAGUUUUGGGCUUCUGCCGUUUCUACAAUGCAAGAAGGGAAAUUACCUCGAGAAGCGUUAUUGAGAACUGCAGCUACAAUACGAGGAAGAACAGGUUGGGAGGAUCCUGUUGAGUCUCUUUCAGUUCAUGCAUAUAUUGCUAAGAGCCAACAUGAAGCUUUGAUGGAAGAAAAAAGACGAGGAAAUUUUGAUGAUACUAGAGAAGGAAAUUCUUUUAAGAGGCAAACUCGAGGAGACAAGGCUCGGGAGGCAGCUUCACAAGAAUUGCCUGUAAAGGAUACCUCAGCAUCAUUGGAAGAAAAAACAACGGAGACAAAAGAUAAGGGCAAAUCAAUUGCUUAUAAGCUACUUUCUGACAUUGAAGCGGCAACAAAUUUGAAAGGGGUGUUGGAAGAACGUAUAUUAAACGCUAAGGUGGAAUUCACAUUGAAAGAAGUCUUAGGAAUUGCAAAGAAGGAGUUUCAUGACGUUAUCAUUGAUAGCAUUAAGUGAAAAAAGCAAUUAAUGGACGGAACUGGAAUGAGUCAUGCUAUUGAUGCAAGAAUAUAUAAAGAUGAAGAAGAGGUUGAUAUUGGUUAGAAGCAAGUAACAAUUGAAAAGAAUGGAUAUAAUAAACGAGUACGUUUUGAAGAUUAUAGUGAUAAAGAAAUGAAAACUUUGAGUCAUUAUACUCAAAAGCAUUGGGCAAGGGCAACUACUGAGGUAUUGGUGAAGGUAGGAGAUAUAGAAGAACCAAUAGUUGCUUUGGUGGACCAUGGUUCUGAAAUAAAUCUCAUGUCUAAAGAUCUUUAUAAGAAGCAAAAAUGGCCAAUUGAUAUGGAACAUGGAUGGCCAAUACGAGCAGCUAAUAACACACGAGGCGAAUUAUAUGGAGCUUGUCCAGAUGUCAAAAUUCGGAUUGGGGAUGUUGCUACGGAACAACAUUUCUUCGUUCAAGAUACAACGUCUUAUCCGUUGAUUUUAGGACAACCUUAUAUCACGGCAACACGGAUGGAAACAAAGGUUCUUGACGAUGGUUCUGCUUAUGCAAGGGUACGGAGCGAAGAUGGGAGGAAAGCUGUAUAAUUUCUAACAGUACCUCCUAACCAUGAACAGAAUCGAGAUAGGUUGAGGGAGAAACCAUUGCCAAAGAUUGUUGAAGGAUUUAAGGAUUUUGGAGAGGUACCACUGUAAAGCAAGAUUAUGGAGGUACAAAAGAGGAGGUACUCUCGCGAGAUGAAGGUGCCUUUGAUGCGAGUUUUAUUGGUAUAUUAGAGAAUGGAAAUAUUAUGUAUAAGAAAGUUGAUGAUUUUAAAAGAAAAGAAAGAAAAAGAUUAUAUGAUAUUGAAGGACAGUUACGCAAGAUAGGUACAUUGCAAGAUGAUGAGAGGAUUUUGGAUGUUUAUGAAGAAAAUGGGCUGGAAGAUUCAUUGGAAUUGAUUACAUCUAUUGGGUUAGGGGAUAAUGAUAAGAUUGUUGAGAUUCAUUCGAGAGAGGUUUAUACCAUGCUUGAAUCUUUUCAAGCACCAGAAGUCACAGUAGAGACGAGAUAUAAAACGGCAGAUAAGAAGGUAAAGCCUGUUGCCGGACCAUUACCAGAGGAUUCUAAAGAACAAAUGGGAGAAGCAUCAAAAGAAGCAAGUUUAAGAGAUCCAAUGAGUAUUGGACAUCAGUUUACUGAAGAGACUUUUGAAGAAUUGAAGAUUGGUUCUGAUGGUUCUUUAUUGCCAGAGGAAAUUACUUGCUUCAAAAAGAUGUUGGCUAAACAAGGUAGAUCGUUUGCCUUCGAAUCUCAUGAAAUUGGGUGUGUGGAUCCAAAUAUUAUAACACCUAUGGUUAUCUUCACUGUACCGCAUGUACCUUGGAAUCUAAGACCGAUUCCAGUACCGAGGGAACAUUUACCUAAAUUGAUGGAACUAUUGAAAGAAAAGAUAAAGAUGAAAAUAUUAGAACCUUCAUUUACGCCGUAUUCUAGUCGAUGGUUUACGGUACCAAAGAAGAAUGGAUCACUGGGGUUUAUUCAAGAUAUGCAGCCGGUGAAUGCUGUAACUGUCAGGAAUGCAGGAAUUGGACCUAUUGUGGAUGAAUUUGCUGAGGCGUUUGCUGGAAGGGCGAUCUAUUCAAUGGGUGAUUUGUAUUCAGGUUAUGAUCAAUUUCAACUUGCCGAAGGAAGUAGAGUUAUGACAACGAUGAGGACACCGCUUGGAUUGGUUAGAAUGUGCACUCUUCCUCAAGGCGCGACCAACUCAGUUGCGCAUAUGAUGAAUGGGAUGAAUAAGGUAUUGAGAGAUUUUAUCUCGGAAAAGACUAUGCCUUUUCUGGAUGAUGUUCCUAUAAAGGGGUGCAGAGAAGGAGACAAGGAUGAAACUUUAGAUACGAGGGGGUGUCGCAGAUAUGUUGUUGAUCAUAUACAAGAUUGUGAAAAGAUUUUAACUCGGCUUGGAGAAGUUCAUCUUACAUUAUCGGAUAUGAAGUCCGUAUUUGGAGUGCGAGAGGUUGUAAUUGUUGGACAUUUAUGCGGAUCUUACGGAAGAAAACCAGAUCCGACUAAAGUUGAUGCAAUUGGAAGGAUGAAAGAGGAUUGUGGUUCUUUAAAAGAGGUUCGCAGGUUUUUGGGUGCAUGUGUAUUUUAUCGAAUCUGGAUCCCUCAUUUUGCUCACAUAGCGGAUCCAUUAUAUGAACUGUUACGCAAGGGUUACCGAUUUGAAUGGAAAGAAAGGCAUAUUCAGACAAUGCAUAGAUUGAAGAAAUUAUUGAUGUCACCUCCAAUAUUGAGGAAGGUUGAUUAUAAGUGCAAUAGACCAGUGAUUCUUACUGUAGACGCUAGUCCAAUUACCGUUGGAUGGGCGGUGGGUCAAGAUGAUUCGAAUGGGAGUAGAUUUGCAGUUCGAUUUGGGGCUAAAGUUUUAAGUAUUUGUCAGCGUGCAUAUUCGCAAGUCAAAAGAGAACUUUGGGGAGUCGUUUCGGCUAUGAAAGCUGAAAAGGACUAUUUGAUUGGGGCAGUAGUAGUAAUUGAAACAGAUUGCUUGCCAUUGCUUGGAAUGAUUAUUAACUGUUCAACGCCAGAUAUUGCAAUGUUGAGAUGGAUUGCUUAUAUUAAGUCACUAAAUCCAGAAUUUAAGCAUAUCACUGGAAAGGACAAUUUAGUAGCAGACAUGCUAUCUCGAGCAAGAUACGAGAGGGAGGACGAAAUGGUUGAAGACAUUGAUGAUGUCGGAUUGAAAUUUUAUUCAAUAUCAAAUCUCAACAGAGAAGACAAGCUAUUUCUUGAAGAAGCUUAUGAAGGAGAGUUAUUGGAUAUUGGUCAUUAUUUGAAUACCUUGUCUAAGCAGGGGAAUUGGUCUACAGAAAAAUUCAAACAAAUAAGAAAAAAAGCAUAUGGAUUUUUACUUCGAGAUGGAUUCUUAUGGAAGAGACCGAAGAAAGGAAUUGGGAUGCCACAACGAGUGAUAGGCAAAAGGGAAGAAAAACUAAAAUUAUUAAAGGAGUUUCAUGAUAGUUUAUGGGCAGGGCAUAGAGGAAUCUGGGCUACUUUUGCUAAACUCAAGGAACGAUAUUGGUGGAAAAAUAUGUAUCGAGAUGUGCUCUCAUUUGUAGAGUCAUGUGAAAUCUGUCAAUCGUAUUCUAAUAUCCGACAUCGAGAUGGUCUUCAUCCUACGUAUCCUCUGGCUAUUCAUUUUAAAUGGGUUGUUGAUUUGGUUAUUAUGCCAGUUGGGUUAUGGCAGAUGAGAUAUUUGGUUUUAGCUCGUGAAGAUUUAUCAAAUCAAGUAGAAGGAAGAGCAUCGAGGACAAAAUCUACAGAGGGGAUUUGUAGGUUUUUGCUUGAAGAUGUCAUUUGCCGUUACGGGUGCGUAGGAAAAAUCACUGCAGAUCGUGGAGAAUUAAAUGCACAAGAAGCUCGUAAGUUCUUUGAAAGAUGUGGAGUUAAACUAUCACUGACUACUGCUUAUAAUCCGGAAGGGAAUGCGAAAAGUGAACGCGGUCACCCGUCGAUUGUGAAAGCAUUAGUUAAAGCUUGUAAUAGGAAGGUUAAAGAGUGGCCACGGCUUUUGUCAUUUGCAUUAUGGGCUGAUCGAACAACACAUAGUUCGGUGACAGGAUAUAUGCCAGUAGAACUUAUGACAGGUCAAAAACCAAUUAUGCCGAUUGAAGAAAAGGUACUUACUUGGAGUAUGCUACCAUGGGAAGAUGGAUUGACAAGAGAAGAACUUCUGGCUAUUAGGAUUCGACAAUUGGAGCAAAGAACGGAAGAUGUCCAGAUAGCAUUGGAAAGGUUAAAAAGAGCAAGGUUACAAAACAAGGCGUGAUUCGAUAAGCAACAUCGAUUGAGACCAAAAGCAAUCGAGGAAGGUGACUGGAAACUUGUUUAUGACAAUAGUCUGGAUAAUCAACAUAGUACUUUGCGGAAAUUUUCAAAACGUUGGUUUGGACUAUAUGUAGUAACAACUGUUCAUGAUAAUGCGACUUACUCAUUACGGGAGUUAGAUGGUACAAAAUUGAAAAUACCAAUUGCAGGGAAGAGAGUAAAAAUAUUUAAACGAAGACACGCAGAGAUGAAUAUGGAAGACCUUAAUGAAGGUACAGAGAUUCCGCAGCAAGAAGAUGAAAGUGAUAUGGAUAAUGAAGGUGACGAAGACGAACUGGAGAAAGACGUAGGGGAUAUAUUCUGAAUCAAACAGCAAUUGGGUAAAUUGGUGCAUACCGGAGGAUGCACAGGUUCAGAGGGGGUGGAUGUCGUGUUGUAACACGAGUAUACAGUGAAAAUAAAAAGAAAGGGGAAUUUUAUUAAUAUUCAGUUACCUCGAAUAUUGGGAACAUCGACCAACUCCAGUACAAAUACUGAGUGGUCAGGUUCUGUGACUCCGUUACAGUCAGCCGGGGCAUACUGAAAUGCUCCGUUCGAUUCCAAUAACUGGAGUCAGCAGGAAGAGAAGGACCAAUUCACACGACGGGUUCGAGGAGCCAAUUGGAUCCAAUUUCGAUAAUCCAAUCCGGGUCCUCUUACCCAAUAUGAGACCUGUAUUGGUGGGGCAACCCAAUGCAGUCUAGUUACGGGAAAUCCAGGUCUUACUAGGGGUCUUAGCCAAUCUGACGCGAGGACCAAUUUGACCCAAUUACGGGAACAUCCAGGUUACUACGUGCAUCUUUACCAAUAUAGGACCUGAAUUGGUCGGGCGACUCAAUGUGGUCCCGAUUACGGGGUUCGAUUCUGUUUCAGGCUGUCCUGUUCUCUGUGCCGUCUCAGGGAACGUUGUUUUCGGUAAAUGGAUUUCUUAAAGGCAAAAACAGAGGAGAAAGCUUGACGGCGAGAGCCAAUUUCGGAUCCAAGCUUGAGGUGGGAGCCAAUUCCGGAUCUAAGACGGAAGAUUGAAGAAAUUCAGAGGAUAAGGUUAGGUGGGAUAUAGUUUUGGGGGUGGUUUUUUUUUUUGAAGGGAAAUCGGGGGGGGAAGGAUUUUUUCAAGCUUUUGCAAGGUUACUAGUUCGGUUUUUUUUUUUGGAUGUUUUUGAAGAUCAAGGGAAUUAGAGAGAGGAGCUUCAUGCUUCGGGUCGGGGAAGGAAAGACAUAGAAUUUGGAUUUUUCUUCUUCGUAGAGUUUUGGGGAAGACUGAGGCAAUCACUGCUGAAGUCAGUGUUGUAAUGGUGAAUCGGGAUUUUUAAAUGAAGUGGGUUUGAAUACUCUUGACUGUUUUGUGAAAUCGAGUUACGUCUGUGAUUGAAGGAUUAAAAGGGUGUCUAUAGGAUUGAGUAUGCGGAGUGAAUGAAAUUUAUUGGGUUAAUCUAACAAGACAGUCAGUGGAUACAAGAUCGUAAGUACAAAGCAGUAUUGAAGGUUAACAGUUUGGGUUGUACGGGGUUCUCUGUAACGUCUAGAGACCUACCGGCUGGGGCAAAAAGGACUUUGACAAGCAGUCGAAGAGCACCCGUAUAGAUUUACGGUACAUUGUUGCAGUCGUUUAUAUUCCAGCAGUCAAAAACUGAUAGACUGCUUGACUAUCGGCGAAUCUCCAUACUACCUUCUACAGCCAGACGCCCGGCGCGUUCUCGAGCAGGAAAGCACGUAAUACGACAUCGUAUAUACAGAUCACAAGAAUUUGGAGUAUUUUAUGUUGGCUCGGGUUUUGAAUCGGCGUCAAGCUCGGUGGAGUAUGUCGCUAUCCAGGUUUGACUUUGUUAUUACUUAUCGGCCUGGGAAGCAACAAGGGUUGUCCGAUGCAUUAUCAAGGAGAUCAUAGCUCGUGCCAAAGGCUGGAGAUGCAGCAUUUGAUCAACAGUGCACGAUAUUGUUGAAGCCAGAGAAAUUUCGGCUCAACGCAGCUAUUGUACCAAUUGAUGCUGACUUCCUCGACCAGGUACGGGCCGCAACCAUUGAAGAUUCUCUAGCCCUUGAUAUCAAGCAACAUGCUAGUGAUGAUAAAUUCAAGAUGGAAGGAGAUCUAGUAUAUUUCGAAGAGCGGUUGUAUAUCCCAAAAGGGCCAACACGACUCCGAGUUCUUCAAUCUCGUCAUGACUUUCCAGUUGCGGGACAUUUUGGAUUCAAUAAGACCUUGGAACUUAUUUCCCGCGAUUUCUGGUGGCCUCAAAUGUAGAAGGAUGUGAAAGAUUUUGUUGUAUCUUGUGACAUUUGUUGAAGAUCCAAAAGCCCUCGACAUCGGCCUUAUGGACUUCUACAGCCAUUGCCUAUUCCGCGCCGACCAUGUUCUUCGGUUUCCAUGGACUUUAUUAUGGAUCUACCACCAUCGAAUUCAUUUGACAGCAUUUUUGUUGUCGUAGACCGGCUUACAAAGAUGGCGCAUUUUGUCCCCUGCAAGAAGACAUCGUCAAGCGAAGACACAGCAAAACUCUUUCUUGAUAGUGUGUAUCGAUAUCAUGGUCUACCAGAUGAUAUCGUAUCGGAUCGAGGAACCCAGUUUGUGUCAAAGUUUUGAAAAUCUCUUUUUGAAAUAUUGAAGGUGGAUAUCAAGCUUUCUUCGGCAUUUCAUCCUCAAACGGACGGCCAAACAAAACGGGUGAAUCAAGUUUUAGAGCAAUAUUUACGUUGCACCAUCAACUAUCAACAAGAUGAUUGGGCCGCAUAUCUACCGCUAGCCGAGUUCGCAUAUAACAACACCCUUCAUGCGUCAACUCAACAAACGCCAUUCUUUUCCAAUUAUGGAUACCAUCCAAAGCUUGACUUAUGGAGUUCGUCAACGAUUAACAAUCCGGCAGCUGAAGGAUUGGUGAAGGAGCUUUUGCAGCUUCAAACUACAUUGAAGCUUCAAUUGCAAACUGCCCAAGAAUCUUACAAGGCGUCCGCGGAUAAAUUUCGGAAUCAGGCACCUAAAUUCACGAUUGGAGACAAAGUUUGGCUGCUUCGACGAAAUAUUAAGACAAAGCGGCCAUGUGACAAAUUGGACUAUCGGAGAUUGGGACCAUUUGUUAUCCAGAAGCAGAUCAAUCUUGUAGCGUAUCGUCUGGAGUUACCAGCUACUAUGAAGGUACAUCCUGUCUUUCAUGUUUCUUUGUUGGAGCCUUAUCGAGAAUCGUCUUUUCCUGGAAGAGUACAAUGUCCACCACCUAGCAUAGAAAUAGAGAACCACGAAGAAUACAAGGUGGAAAAGGUCCUGGAUUCACGGCAAAGACAGGGUAAAUUAGAAUACUUUGUGCAUUGGAGUGGUUACAAUAUUAAUGAACGAACAUGGGAGCCGAUCGAAACUCUCGCGAAUGCCCCGCAAAAGGUACAGGAGUUUCAUCGACGAUAUCCUGAGAAACCCAAGCCAAUUCGACGAUAGCUUCUUACUGAAGCUUGCUCAUUCAGAAAACAGAAAAGAGGAGAGAGCACCACCAAAAUCCAUAGUUGAUGUAGUCAUCCUCUCCAAGAUAGCGUAGAACUUUGUUAGUAGCCCAAGUUUGUUCUUAUUGUUUUAGCCUUUGAAUAUGGAUAGCCAAGAUACUACACUUGUCAUGUCAUCUCAAGCAACUAGCUCACGAAGACGACCGCGAGAUGAAGAACCGCCUGCACCAGGACGACGUCGAAGGAUUCCGAGCAACAGAUCGCUGAUGAUUGUAUUUGAGGUCGAGCCUGCCUACAAUGGUCAGCCAAAAGGAGUGUUUGCACGACAAUUUCACAAUGAAGACACGGAGGUUCAUGCUUGGUCAGAAGUUGAAGGCGUGGGCCACUAUCGUUGGCUUCAAGGAUCAUUGAAUCAUUUGCCUCGUGAACAACAAUUGGAGUUCAUAGCAGAGGUUAUGUGACAGAUCUUCAUUUUCUUGCGUUGGUAUUGACUGACGAUAACAUUGCUUCUCGGAGACCUCGAAGCUAAAGGAGGAGGUGAUGUUAGGGACAUAGUCCUUAGACCUUUCUAGAGACAAGUUUCUAGAACCUUCUAGAAAGAAGUCUCUAGAAACUUCCAGAAGAUUCCUUCAAUAUUCUCUUAGAAUAUUCUUCAAAGAUUCCCUAAAGAUUCUUUGAAGAUUCCCUAAAGAUUCCCUUAGAAGGCUCUAGAAGAUUCUUAGAAUAUUCUAAUAGAUUCUAGGAAGUUACUUGAGAAGCUUCCUAGCUCUUGGGUAGUUGCUCGAGAAGCUUCAUAGUUCUUGGGAAGCUUCUUGAUGCGCUUCCUUAGAACCAUAGGCCAGUAGUAUAUAUAGGAGUCGAGGCUGAAGAGUUCUUCAGUCUCGACAACGCAUCUCUUGAAGCUCUAGCUCAAUUCUCCUGGCGUUACUCUUGUACUCAUCUGAUAAUCUAGUUCUUGUCAUUUCUUCUUGAACUUCUUGUUUAGAUUUCUUGUUUGUAUUUUUGGUCCGUGACAACCGAUCGGCUUGGAAUUAAAACCAAGGAAAUCAAGAGAGGAAAUAUAUACCAUACAGAUGACCAAGAGAACGUGUUGAUUGAAACUUGUGAAGUAGAAACCUUAAGAUUAACAGACACCAACGUCUUAAGAGAAAGAUUCAAGGUGACAAAGCUAAAGUAUGAUGUUAUCCUUCAUAUGCCAUGUCUAGAGAUGGAAAUUAAGAAAAUUAAUUAGGUAGCAAGGACAAAUAUUUUUAAAGAUAGAAGAUGCAAAAUAACUCUUUCUACCUCAACAUCAAGUGAAGAGGAAAGACAACCUAUAACUAAAGACUUAUUUGUAGAGACAACUUUUAUGAAGAUGCAAUAUACUAUAAACAAUUGAUAUAUAUGGUGGUUCCAAAUUUUGUGACAGUAGUAGAAAAGACAGCCAAAGGGAUAAAACGAGUAGAGCAACUCAUAUAAGAAUAUCAAGAUGUCUUUUCAACCGACCUAUCUAGUGGCGUAUCUCCUGAUCAAGGUGCCUUCUUUCAAAUAGAACUAUUACUUGGAGCCAAAUUAGCAAGUCGAUCAAUUUCUUGCCUAGCACCAAAAGAAUUUGAAGAAUUGCAAAAGACAUUGGAUGAACUUUUAGAGAAAGGCUUCAUUUGAAAAAGUACAUCACUAUAGGCAGCACAUGUAUUCUUUGUAUCUAAGAAAGAUGGUGAACUUUGCAUUUGCAUCAACUGUCAAGGUCUCAAUAAGUAGACUAUUAAAAAUAUAUAUCCACUUCCACACGUGGAUAAUCUUUUGGACCAAUUUAAAGAUGUAACCAUCUUUAUUAAAUUAGAUAUUCAGAGUGGCUAUUGGCAAAUACCUAUUGCAAGAGAGGAUGUGGAAAAGACGACAUUUCAUACGUACUAUGGAUAUUUUGAAUGGCUGAUUUUAUCCUUUGAUAUCACCAAUGCUCUAGCGUCUUUCAUAGGUCAAAUGAAUAAAUUAUUAAAAGACCUUUUGAACGAGUAUGUAGUUGUCUUUAUUGAUGAUAUCUUCACAUAUAAUAAAAUCUUUGAAGAGCAUGAGUAACACCUAUGAAAGGUAUUGGGCUGGCUAGAAGACAGUUGAUUCUAUUGCAAGCAAUUAAAAUGUGAACUUUGGAAGUCAAAAGUUACCUUUUUGAGGCAUGUGGUGUCCUCUAAAGGCGUGCACAUGGAAUAAGAUAAGGUGAAAGCAGUGGAGGAUUGGCCAACCUCUAAAGAUGCUUCUAAAGUUUCCUCAUUUUUAGGCCUUACUGGAUAUUAUCACCAUUUUGUUCGGCAAUUUGCUUACAUAAUUGUGUCAUUGUUAAACCUAUUGGAGAAAGAUACCUCAUUUGAAUAGAAAUUGGAGUAGUAAAAUGCCUUAGAUAAGUUAAAAGAGGCACUCAUUACUGCACUCAUAUUAUAAUCAUAUCAUCUUAAUCUCCUUUGAAUGCUUGAAAUUAAUGCUUCUAAUUUUGCUAUUGGAACAGUCUUUUAAUAAGACUUUGGUAAGGGCCUUCAACUUGUGGCAUAUGAAUUAUGCAAACUCAAAGGGACAAAGAGAAAUUAUUCUACACAUAAUCAAGAGUAAUUAGUAAUUAUACAAGCUACAAAGAUGUAGAAAAGCUAUCUAUUAGAAAAGCAUGUAGUUUUUUGGACUGAUUAACAACCCUUGCUAUAAAAUUUGCAUCUAAAAAAUAUGAAAUCAUGGCAUUAUUGUUGGGAAGAACAAUUGCAGCUUUUUGAUAUGCAACUUGAGUACAAACAAAGAAAAUAGCAUACAAUCCUACAUAAUUUAUUACAAAGACCAAACUUGAAGGACAAAUUAAAAGUUAAUGCAAAAGUUGCUUUCAUUAAUAGUAUCAUUUCAGAUCUAACCAAAGAGGCAGAAUGGAAAGAAGCUACACAAUGAGAUGCUUAUUUAAAGUUAGUUAGUGAUUGAUUGAGAGUUGAUAAUAUAUAAUAUGAAUAUUACAAUCCUAAUAAUGGCUUGCUCAAUUUCAAGAAGUAAAUUUAUAUACUUGAUAAUACUAAACUCCAAACAUGCAUAGAUUUAAAUUAUACGUGAAUCAUAUAAAUCACUCAUCUUAUAAAUUAGAAUAAAGAUGGUUAGAGAAGAACUAUAUAAAUCACUCAUCUUAUAAAUUAGAAUAAAGAUGAUUAGAGAAGAAUAAUAUAAAUCACUCUCACCUUGUAAAUUGGAAUGAAGAUGAUUAGAGAAGAAAUAUAUAAAUUUUUCACCUUGUAAAUUCGAAUGAAGAUAAUUAGAGAAGAGUUGUACAUAUUGGAUAAAAUGUGAGAAGGUUAUGUAUUGAAAUGGAGUGCUUAAUCAUUGAAAUGGCAUUUGUUGCAUGGAAAUGGAAUGAGCUUAAAGAAGUUUGCAUCAAAAAAUCAGGAGAAUGAUAUAAUUUAAGAAAAGAAAAAAAAAAAAAAAAAAAAGCGUGGAGCACAAAAACAAGAAUGCAAAAAGAGAAGAGAAACAAUGGACAGCAGAGUCAUCAACUGCAUGAUUUAAACCUGCACAGAGAAAUCCUAGAAAAUUUCAAGUUUGUUGUCUUAACCACUUGGUGAAAAUUGACAUAUGCCAUUCUCCACAACUUCAGCAAUCAAAUGUAAACAAUCUAAUAUUCGCUCUAAUAUUGAUGAAACAAGACUAGACUAUCUCAAAAAUCCAAGAUCCUUCUAUUCCAUAAUAAUAUAAUAUCUCAUCACAAAAUAAGAUAAAAUAGACUAAAAAAAAAUUGAAUAGAAUUACACAAAAUAGUACAUAAAAGAUAACUUAGCAGACAAAAACAAAACAUAACAAAAUUGAACAAAAAGAGGUUUAUGCAAAACCAAACUUUACUAAAAAAAAGGAUUUGAAGUCGUAUCUCACUAGAUAUCCCAAAAAGCUUUGAUAAGUCCAUUUAUAUCUUAUCUUACUACCCUAGACUUUCUAAAAUAUUUCUAAGAAGUAGAUUCUAUCUAUAUAAUUGACUUAAAUUCUUUUUUUAGAAAUUUCUAUGAUAGGUCCUAUCUAAAUAACUAUCUUAAGUAUUUUCUAAAAAGUUCUAUGGUAGGCUUCAUCUAAAUAAUCGUCCUAAAUUUUUCUAGAAUGUUCUGUAGAGGAUCCUAUUUAGUCCUGUAGAAUAGGUAAAUAAACUUUGUGGUAAGUUACUGGUUGGUUAUUGACAACCUUGAGAAUUAGACUGAUAGUUACGCAGUUUAGAUGGUAACAAUAGGUUGUCAGUGAAAUAAAUGGUUAAGAAUUCAAAGGGUCAUAACCUUUGGAAUCCGCUGGCCGACGGAUCAUCUUUUGGUAGCAUAAAUAGGUUGAGGAAAGGUAAGCCGAGAGCCAGACUGUGAGAGUUGUAAGUCGAGAGUCCGACUGAGAGUUGUAAGGCGAGAGCUAGAUUGACAGUCGUUAGCCAAGGUAAGCUUGGUGCUACCUCUUUAUCUUUUUUGUUAUUUGCUUAUGAAGAAUUGUGAUUGAGAGAAGUAUUGUUGAAUUGAUAAUCGUAGAAUGAAUUAUGGAUUGGAUUAAGAUGGAAGUAGUAAGCCUUGGUGUUUUAUAGUUUGAUAAUUGAUUUUAGAUAGCAAGAGUACAGUCAAUUGUGACACUAACAAAUCCAAUUUAUAUGACCAAUCUUUCUCCGUAUUCGAACCCACCUCUAUUAAUUCAAUUGCUUUGAUCUAUUGAAGCUUGAACGCAACGAGAACAACAUUUUGGUGCCACUAUCGAGGAAAUGAUAACAAUAUAAAAUGUUAGAAAUUGAUUGUAUGGAAGAUGGAAUUAUAUAUUGAAUGAAAACGUGAAAAGAAUCAGUUUUAGGAUCACAAAUAUGUGAGUUAUAAUUCAAGGCAGUAUUGAUUUUGCCAGAAAGAAAGAAAGAUUAUGAGUGAUAAUCAUGGAGGGAGGAUUAUCAAAGAAUUAAUCGACAAAUAAAAGAAAGACAAGAGCAAUUAUGCAUAAGAAAUAUCCUACGAGAAUGACAAAAAAGAAUUGCAGGUCCAAGAAAAAUCAAAGGAAGAAAAAUUCAGAUUCAAAUAGUAAGGAGACCAUUGAUAAUACCAAUGGUCGCGGAAGUGCCACAAGUACCAAUUCCAGUACAAAUGGAAGCAGUAGGAGACUGAACUAAAAGUGUGGCACCAUUAUCUAUUUUUAGUGGUUAGUCGGGCUCUGAUCUCGAUCACCAUAUAUUCCAAUUCUUGACAGCUUGCAUGCCUAAUAAUGAUAGAAUUGAAGAUAUUUGGUUGAGAUGGUUGCCAGCAACUUUAAAAGAUAAAGCUUUUGAAUGGUAUAUUUGGCAACCAAUGGGUAGAUUUUUCAAUUGAGAGGCCUUGAGGAAUGCCUUCCUAACCUAUUUUAGACCAAUUAGAUUUGAAGAUUGGCUUUGAGAAAGUUUUAUGAAUAGCAGGAUGUUUGUGGAGGAAUUCGUAGAGUCCUAUUAUGGCUGGAUCGCGGAUAUACUUCAUAAAUGGUCAAAUAAUCAAAUGCCACAUGCAUUUAUAUUGUCAAUAUUAAUUAAUGAUUUGCAUCUACCACAAUUGAAAAUGUUUGUAAAAGAGGCUUGAUCAGCUACUGUAGAUGCAUCGUUGGCACGAGCAAAGGUGUGAGAAGAAUGUCAUUAUGACCAAUUAUUAACAGUGGAGGCCACGAUGAUUCCAAGUUCAGGAAGCCAACAAAUACAACCGGGAAAUGUGUUGAUGGGUAAUUAUCUACAAAUUGUUGCCUCCAAUGUAAAGAAUAUUAUAUUGCAACAAUCAAUUAAUACUACACCACUCGAAGCAAUAGUGCCAGUAACGAUGACACCUUAUUUUACAUCGCCAACCUAUCAAUAACCGGAGUUGUUCACAAAUGCGACUGUUAAAGAUCCAAAUGAAGCCUUGUUAUUAAAUCUAACAAAGAAAAUGGAAGAAUUGGUUAUGAAUUUGGCUAAAGACAAGGAGAAACGACAUAAGCCUUCUAAUAAGAGACUUAAUGUAUGGUGUAAUAAUUGUAAGAGACAAGGUCAUUUUGAUGCGGAAUAUCUAUCACCUAGACAAACGGGUACUUAAUGUAUAUUUUACAGAGGAAAGUACCCUACCCAAAAUUACUGGCAUUUAUAAAGGCAACAACAAUUCAGUAAUUACACCAUGAUCCCACCGACUUAGUGGAAAGUCAAUCAAGUUCAAACGGAAUAUACGUAUGGAUAGAAUGAAAAUCGAUCUAAUUGACAAAAUCGAGCAUUCAAUAAUUUUCAAAGUUCCAAUUUUAAUCAGGGGUUUGCAUCAAAUGUCCAAAAUUUAUUAGUGAAAAGUUGAAAUGUGGAGAUUACGAGUUAUUGUGAAGAUAAAAGUAAAAAUAAAAUAAGAGGGAUAAAAGCGAAGGUACCUUGACAACGCCAAGGAUUGAAGGCAGCAACCCCCUUCUACUCCAAAAUUCGCCAAAAAUUAUAAUUAGCUCCAAAUUGAAUGAUUUGUAGGUUGUUGCAAGGUUAACUUAAAGACGCUCCUGCUCCAAUAAAUCUCAUUGCAAUCUAGUGAUCCAGUCGUGAGAAUUGCUUCUUUGAAGUUGAGUGACCCAAACUGCCGCGGUGACCAACCCCUUUCACUUAGAAAUUCGCUAAAAAUUCAAAUUGUCUUCAAAUCCAGCGAAACUUGUGCCUUUCAAAGCUUAGCUUAUAAAUCUUGAUGUUUUAAAAUUUUUAAAUGAAUCCAGUUAUCAAGCACUGAGAAAUUCCUUCCCAAACUCGAUUAAUCCAAACUGCAAAGGCAGUCGACCCCCUCAUACUCAAAAUUUCAUCAAAAACUCAGUUCAACUCCAAAUGGAGCGAGCCUUAUCUUGUUGGAAAGCUUAUAACAAAAUAUACAACAAAAAAAAAUAAAAUAGGAACUAAAACAAUGAAAUGACUGAUGGAGGCAAAUCUGAGGCUCUUGAAACCCUUGGAGUAAUUGAGAGGCCAAGGGAGCUAUUCAUCACAAUGAAACGUGUUUUAAGACCCUAUGAUUAUCAUUCACAACUCGAAAUCCAUGCACACUCACCCAAAAAAUUCACAAUGAGAUUUAAAAUCUAAAUGAAAUUAAAAUUAGGGUUUUUGGCCAAAUUUUAGCAUGGCUUCGUCCUUCACCAAAAGAGGAGAGAGAGAGGGCUUGGAAAACCAAGCCUCUCUUAUACAAUUGAGUGGAGGCUUGUAGAAGGGUGGCUACAUCUCCACCCUUGAUUUUUCAGAUCCCUAGUCUAGAUCUAUGGCCUUCAUUCAUCCAAGAGCCAGUCUCGUUAUUAAGGCUGAUGGCCCUUGUAAGUGGUCAAGAAGGCAUUUUUUUUGUAAAUCUAACUUCACUAUUGUGUUCAAAACACCUUUUUAAGCUAAGAUCGACUACUCACAUGCCCCAAUCCAUGCUCAAUUAUAAUUUCUAUGGAAGUUUUUACUUACAAGGAUCUUGGCAAUUUUUUUGUGAAAUUUUUCAAAAUGAGAAUUUCAUCGCUUCUCUUGUAUUUUGAAGGAGAGGUUGCUGAUCUUGUUUUCUUCACUCCACGAGGUAAAUCCGGUGCCACCAUUGCAUUAAAGAGACUCCCAUUAAGUAGAAGAACCACCAUGCCGCUUAAAUUUGCCGAAUUUGGAGGAAAAAUCCAAAAUUACCAUUGCUAACUUCCCUAAAUCUUUUAGAGAAUUAUAAUUCCAACCCCUAAAUCAUGUGGAUGAUUAUAGACGUACUCAUUGGCUUUUAGUUAACCCUUAUAGUAAUGACUGACAACCUCUAAAUUAUUAAACUAACUGAGUUGUUAUUCUAAUUUUCUAACUCUUGUCACUUUAGUCCUAAUUAAUCAAAUAUGGAAUUUCUUUAAAUUUGGAAUAGUGUCAAUUUGGUGUGCCUUCUGGUAAACUGUUGGAUCAUAUAGUUUUGAUGGCAAGCAUUGCUACAGAUCCAGAUAAAAUAAAGAUUAUAGUAGAAUUAAAGCAAUCAGACACUGUUACGGGUGUUUGAGCAUUUGUCGGCCAUGUCAGUUAUUAUCGGUGAUUUAUCUAUCUAUUCGUAGUUAUAUGCCUUCCCUUGACAAAUCUCUUGAAGAAACCACCAAUCGAUAAGACUAGUCCAUUUUGGACAAAAGAAUGUAAAAUUGCAUUCGAAACAUUGAAACAAAAAUUUGUUUCAGCACCAAUAUUGGUGGCACGUUAUUACACAAAACCAUUUCAAGUUUAUGUGGAUGCAUCUAAUGUCACGAUUGGUUGUGUGCUAAGCCAAAAAGAUGACCAGGGUUUUGAUCACCCUAUUUAAUAUGUAAUUUGUCAAUUGGUAGCAACUGAAAGAAAUUAUACAAUAACCGAACGAGAAGCAUUGGAGAUGAUUUUUUCCAUACAAAAGUUUCGAUAUUAUCUUCUUGGUUAUAAUUUUUUUUUCCAUGUCGAUUAUGAUGCUUUAAAAUAUAUGAUUAAUAAGCCUCAUUUAAGUGGUCGUAUUGCACGAUGGGUUCUACUCUUGCACGAAUUUGACAUUAUUAUUCAAGUAAGACCAGAAAAAUCACAUUCCAAUGCAGACCAUUUAUCUCAGUUAUCCAAUAUAUUAGAUAAUGAACCCAUUAACAAUGCACUACUUCAUGCGGAUUUGUUUGCGGUAGAUGUAAUUACUCUGAAGUAUAGUAUAAUAAUUCAAUACUUGACAUUUCAAACCUUUCUACCUAAUUUCAAUGAAAAGCUUAAACAACGCUUAAUAUUAAAAUGUGCACCUUAUACAAUAAUUGGAGAAGCUUUAUAUAAACAAGGCAAGGAUGGAGUUUUGUGAUGCUAUAUUUAUUAGACUGAAGUGUGUACUAUAUUAGAAGGGUGUUACUUAGACAAUUGUGGUGGACAUUUGCGGGGAAUAGCACGACUGGUAGAGCUUUACAGGGUGGUUAUUGGUGGCCAACAAUGUUUGCAGAUGUCCACCAAUUUGUCCGUCAUUGUGAUCCAUGUCAGAGAAUGGAUCAACCUACUGGAACUUCAACAAUGCCAUUGGUAUCAAUUCUGGCUUAUGUGCCUUUUAAAAAAUGGGGAAUUGAUUUUGUAGGACUAAUUGUAUCAACUUUGAGAAAUAGAUAAAAAUAAUAUAUACUGAUAGCAAUGGCUUACGUAACAAAAUGGACUGAAGCUGUAGCUAUGAAAACCAAUAGUGCAAGUACAAUAGCAACCUUUUUGUAUAAAAAUAUUAUUACACGGUUCGAUUGUCUACGAGAAUUGCUUAGUGAUUGUGGAACUCAUUUUAUAAAUAGUACAAUCGAAGCACUCAUGGCUAAAUAUGAGAUAAAAUAUCGAAAGACUACACCAUAUCAUCCUAGAGCCAAUGGACAAACGAAAAAAACUAAUGGAAUUUUAUAUAAAAUCUUAACAAAAACAGUUUUAGGAGCAGGAACAAAUUAGGACACUAAGUUGUUUGCAGCUUUAUGGGCAUACCGUUGUUGUACUGUAAUUACUUACAGUAUGUAAAAAUUAGUGAAAACAUGUAAUAUGUUUAUAAGUCUUAAUGUGAGUUAGAAUAGUUAGUAUGUUAAUUUAAAAUGAAUUGAAAUAAGAAAAAUUAUUUGGAAGUUAAUCUAGUUUGAUCAUAGAGUUUAUAUUAUAUAGGAUUUAGAUAGUUAGUAUAAAGAUUAAGGGAAGGGAGGAGUUAAAAGAUGAAAAUAUAACUAGAAGGAGGCUUAUUGGGAAGGAUGAAAGUAAGGCAUGGUUGGAUGAAGGCAAGGGGUGAAGAACUUCAUCCCUAUUGGUCGAAAACCAUGCCCAAUGGGCUUUGAGGAGGCUGCCCGAGGCCAUAUUAGGAAUUAGGGUUCCUCUUUCGAGGCCAUUCGAGCUUUUGAGGCUAGAGUCAGAAGGUUUAGGGUUUUGGGUAUAAUUUGGGUGAAAAUUUUGUGUGAUUUCGAGUUUUUAUGGAAAAGAUAUGAAUGUUCAAAGAUAAGGUGUCAAUUUCGUACCUACUGUCACUUCUUUUGGGCAUCACAUACGAAUACGGAGAGCAUGUCACGGACAUACAUAUAAUUACGUAUAUGAAUAGAUAAAAGUAUGUAAAAGUAGAUAAAAGUAGGUUAAUUGUGUAAUAUCUUCUAGAGAAGCUUCUUAGAAGCUUCAUAGACGCUGCUUUGACUUUAUUGGAGUCUAUAGUUGACUUUUAGGCUAGAAACUUGGUCAACAAGUUAGCCAUGUGCCACACAUGUUGGAAGCUUAAAGAACAAGCUAACUACGGGUCCAUCCAUAGAAAACUUGCCUUGUAAGCAAAGGCAUGUGGCCUAGAAAGUCAACAUAUAUUGGAGGUCUUAUAGAACAUCGCCAUGUGGCUUCUAGUUAGAUAGUAUAUAUAGAGGCAAGAGUGAAGCCCUCUUCACUCUUGUCAACUCCUUUCUUGCUUCUAGUCUAGUUUCAAGGGUCUCUAGUUUUCUUGUAUUUUGGCAAUAGCCAUUCCAGUUUCUUUCUUAAUAUACAUAUUUCUAUUUUGUCCUAUUUCUUUUUUGAGAAAAGUCUCACUUACUCUUUAGCUUUCAUCGAGUUCUUGUCCUUGAUAGAUUGACAAGAGUACACUUACAAUAUCAGAGCUUUGUCUUUUCUUGAUUAAGAGUGGAUUACCCCUUUUUCUUGAUAAGACAUAAGCGCAUUAGAAGUUGCGGAUUACCCUCUUUUAAACUGAUAUUGUUCUUAGUAUUUUCUUUGUUAUCAAUUCCUCUCUUCUAUUUGUUUUGAGCGUUAUUAGACAUCUUCUCUUUUCUAAGUGCUACUAUGGCAGAGCUUGUUGAAAUGAAGAGUACAAUGGCACAGAUGCAAGAACAAUUGAGGGAGUUAAUGCUUGCGAUGCAUCAACUCAAUUUACCACCACAAGGAGCAACAAGAACGGUAGGAAGUGAAGAUAUAGAGAUGAUUGGGGCUGCUUCAACAUCUGCACCAAACCAUGUCCCUUCUCCCAGAAUGGAACACCCUUCGAGUGUUAGAGAACCGAGAGUUGCCUUGCCCGAGAAGUUUGAUGGUACCAGAUCCAAGUUUCGAGGAUUCAUCAAUCAGGUCCAACUAGUGAUUGAACUUCAACCCCAGAGCUAUCCAACUCCAGGGUCACAAGUUAGAUUCAUUGGUACACUUCUUUCAGGUUCAGCAUUGUCAUGGUUUUCAUCUUUUCUUGAACGACGAGAUCCAAUAUUGGAUAAUCUGGAGGCUUUUUUGGCGGAGUUUCGAUCCAUGUUUGAAGAACAUGAUGCAAUUCGUGUUGCAACCAACAAGAUCCGUAUUUUGCGACAAGGCAAUCGAUCAGUAACAUUAUAUGCUUCGCAAUUUCGACAACUUGCAACUGAUAUCAAGUGGGAUGAUGCCGCACUUGUGAGUCAAUUUCUCUACGGAUUACAAUAUGAGGUAUAGAAAUUGAUGCUUAAUUUACCUGAUCCUCAAACAUUGAGUCAAGCAAUUGACUUUGCUGUGAAGUGCGACAAUCGACUUUUUGAAUUUCGAUCCGAGAGUCGCACAAGUAGGCCUCAACGUUACUACAAUUCAAUGGCAACACCGACGUCUCCUCAACACAUACCUUCAGAAGUAGAGGAUAUGCAAAUUGAUGCGGUACGUUUCAAACCUCUUACUGAGCAAGAAAAGUCUCGUCGUCGACAAGAAGGAUUGUGCUUAUAUUGUGGAGAACCUAAGCACACUGCUCAACAUUGUCCAAAGAAGCGACGUAACUACAAAAUGAGGAGUACGGCUGUCAAAGAAGACAGUAUGUCGGAAAACGAGUACAUCCAGCUACAAUAGGGACCGUGCGGCUGGAACCUUGUACAACUUCUAAUGAAGGUCCUAUCCUCUCCUCAGAACCAUCUCCUUGUUUUAUAAUAGAUGUGCGUUUAGGACCUAAUAAUUACAAAGCCUCUGCCUUGAUAGAUUCAGGAGCCUCAGCUUGUUUUUUAGAUGAAGAAUUUGCUAGAUGUCAUAGAAUAUCAUUAAUACAAAAAACUAAACCUGUACACGUAGAAGUCAUAGAAAAUCGUCCGUCGUCUUCUAGAGAUAUAACUCACGAAAUAAGUCCUGUAGAUGUAGUAAUAAAUGGUCAUAGUAGUUGCGUAAUUUUUAAUAUAAUUAGAUCUCCCUCUAAUCCAGUAAUAUUAGGCUUAUCAUGGUUAGAAAAGUAUAAUCCUCGAAUAGAUUGGAUUUCUCGUAAACUUGAUUUUCCUCAGAGCAUUAGUAACAGUUCUAUUAAUCAAGUAAAAAACCAUGAGUCUAGUAUAGUAAAACCCACACUUAUAGGUGCAAAAGCAUUUAUACAUGCAGCAAAAGAAGGAUCAACUUUUGCUAUUUAUGCUGCACCUAUUUCUGAAAGCGUAAAGACUUCAAGUGGCAUUCCAAGUCAAUAUCAGGAUUAUCAAGACGUUUUUGAGAAAAAGAAUGCAGAUAUUCUUCCUGAGCAUCGCCCAUACGAUUGUUCAAUCGAUCUCAAGGAAGGAACUCAGCCACCAUUUGGACCAAUUUACAGUUUAUCGCAAGAUGAGUUGGCUGAACUCAAGACAUAUAUUGACGAGAAUUUAGCGAAGAAUUUCAUACGCCAUUCAAAAUCUCCAGCAGGAGCUCCAAUUUUAUUCGUAAAGAAAAAAGAUGGAUCUUUACAAAUGUGUGUUGACUAUCGAGGACUCAACAAGAUCACAAUCAAGAACAGGUAUCCAUUACCUUUGAUAUCAGGACUCCUUGACCAGUUAAAUCAAGCUAAGAUCUAUACAAAAAUAGAUCUAAGAGGAGCAUAUAAUCUAGUACGGAUCAAAGAAGGAGAUGAAUGGAAGACUGCGUUUCGAACCAGGUACGGACACUUUGAAUACAAUGUCAUGCCUUUUGGACUCACGAAUGCACCAGCUGCUUUUCAACAUCUCAUGAAUGAUGUAUUUCGUGAAUUCUUAGACAAUUUUGUCGUCUGCUACCUAGACGAUAUCCUGAUUUAUUCUAAGAAUGUUGAAGAACAUGAAAUACAUGUUCGUCAAGUAUUACAAAAACUUAGAGAUGCAGGAUUGUACGCCAAGAUAGAAAAGUGUGUAUUUCACACUACUCAAGUUGACUUUUUAGGAUACAUCAUUUCAAAUGAUGGUCUUAUGAUGGAUUCUAAGAAUGUCCAAACAAUCAUGGAUUGGAAGAUUCCAAAGACUGUAAGAGAUGUCCAAUGUUUCCUGGGAUUUGCCAAUUACUAUCGGAUCUUCAUCAAAGACUUCUCACGAGUUGCAGCUCCACUUACACGCUUGACUAGUAAAGAUAAAUUCCAAUGGAAUCAAGAAGCGGAAGCAGCAUUUGAAGCCUUGAAGACAUCGUUUGUCUCUGCACCAGUCUUAUAUCGUGUUGAUUUUUCCAAGGUAUUUUUUAUGGAAACAGACGCAUCGGAUUUUGCCUUGGGUGCAGUUUUAUCACAAAUGGGAACAGAUGACAAACUUCAUCUGAUAGCUUUUCAUUCAAGAAAAUUUUUAGCAGCCGAGAUCAAUUAUGAGAUCCACGAUAAAGAACUUCUUGCAAUCGUGGAUUCUUUUCAAGAAUGGCGUCAUUAUCUAGAAGGUGCUUCUAGUCCAGUCAUUGUGUAUACAGAUCACAAGAACCUCGAGUAUUUCAUGUUAGUACGCGUGUUGAAUCGUCGUCAAGCUCGUUGGAGUAUGUCUUUGUCAAGAUUCGACUUCAUUAUCACUUAUCGGCCAGGAAAACAACAAGGUUUGUCUGAUGCCCUGUCUAGACGUUCUUAUUUUGUACCAAAAGAAGGAGAUGCAGCUUUUGAGCAACAAAGAACAGUCCUCUUGAAACCGGAGCAAUUUCAUCUCCGAGCAGUGAAAUCAACACUGACUGUUGAUUCAACUUUUCUCAAGCAAAUCCAGUCCAGUAUGUCCUCAGACCCUCUUGUUCAUGAUAUCGAGAAUAAUUCUUCCAAGUCUCAUGAUUCUUCUAAGUUCGAGUUCAAGAAUAAUCUAUUAUAUUUUGAAGGACGCCUAUAUGUUCCAGAAGGAAAAGCACGUUUGCGUGUUCUUCAAGCACGUCAUAACUUUCCAGCAGCAGGUCACUUUGGAUAUAAUAAGACUCUGGAACUCAUAUCAAGAGAUUUUUGGUGGCCACAAAUGUGGAAGUCAGUCAAAGACUUUGUACAAUCAUGUGAUAUUUGUUCAAGAUCAAAAAUUCCUCGACAUCGACCUUACGGACUUCUUCAGCCAUUACCUAUACCAGAACAACCAUGGUCUUCUGUUUCUAUGGAUUUCAUCACAGAUCUUCCAAACUCAAGAUCUUAUGAUUCUAUAUUUGUGAUAGUAGAUCGUUUCACCAAGAUGGCACAUUUUAUGCCAUGUACAAAAUCUAUCACAGGUGAAGAAACAGCUAAGCUUUUCAUUGAUAAUAUCUAUCGCUAUCAUGGAUUACUUAAAGAUAUCAUAUCGGAUAGGGGAACUCAAUUUGUGUCGAGAUUCUGGAGGACUCUUUUCAAGAUUUUAAAAGUGGACAUAAAGCUAUCUUCAGCUUUCCAUCCUCAAACUGAUGGACAAACAGAGCGCGUAAACCAAGUCUUGGAACAGUAUUUAAGGUGUACCAUCAACUACCAACAAGAUGAUUGGACAAUCCUUCUGCCAUUGGCAGAGUUUGCUUAUAAUAAUACAGUACAUUCUUCCACGCAACAAACACCUUUCUUUGCCAAUUAUGGCUAUCAUCCACGACUUGAUACUUUUGAUUUUUCAAAAGUUGAUAAUCCUGCAGCAGAAGAUAUGGCAAAUCGGUUGUCAGAGUUACAUGCAAUAAUGAAGGCGCAGUUGAAGAAAGCUCAAGAACGACAAAAGAUAAAUGCAGAUGUAUAUCGUAAAGAGCAACCACAACUCAACGUGGGUGAUAAGGUAUGGCUACUUCGUCGCAAUAUCAAGACCACUCGACCUUGUGACAAAUUGGACUAUCGUAGGCUUGGCCCCUUUUCUGUUUCUGAACAGAUCAACCCAGUUGCAUAUCGGUUACAUCUACCGGAGUCAAUGAAGAUCCAUCCUGUAUUCCACGUGUCUCUUCUUGAACCAUAUAAGAGAGUGGAUAUACAAGGAAGAAGACAAAUGCCACCGCCUCCUAUAGAAGUAGAUAAUAAUGAAGAAUUUGAGGUGGAAGAGAUAUUAGACUCAAGGCGGCGCCGAAAUAAGCUGGAAUAUCUUGUUCAUUGGCGCGGAUAUGAUAUUAGUGAGCGCACAUGGGAGCCAUCCAGGAAUCUAGCAAAUGCAUCAGCUAAAGUCAAAGUUUUUCAUCAACGACAUCCAUCAAAACCAAGAUGAAAACCUCUCUUAUAAAAGAGACAAGAUUGAGGCAAGAUAACAUUCAAUUUCCUAUCCUUGUUUGUAACUUCUUUGCAUUUGUGACGCUAAUUAGAUGGAGAGCCAACAACUAGUGGAUUCAACUCAAGAACCUUCGUUUGCUGACUUAUCGGAUGAGACAUUGCGAUUGUCACAACCUUCAAGACGACGCAACCGAGAUGAAGAUCCUCAAGAACGACAUGUUCUUCCUCGAAUAGAUGGUGAGAUACAACGCAUUUGGUAUCACGACCUUGGAAGAGAUUCUCGAUGUUUGGUGAUAUUAUUGGAGAUAGGAACGACUCCUGAUGGUGUUUCAAAUGUAUUAUUUGAAGGAAGUUAUGAAGGCCUCAACAGUGAUCAAAUAACAGGGUGGUCUUCUCGCCCUGGAAUAGGACACUAUCGAUGGCUAAGAGGACCCAUCAACUAUCUUCGAAGAGAACAAAGAUCAGAGUAUGUAGCAAAUACAAUUCGCCGCAUAUUAGAUUUUCUCAAUAUAUAAUCACCGCUCCUCGUGGAACUCGUCCCUAGAAGGGGGGGUAAUGUCACGGACAUACAUAUAAUUACCUAUAUGAAUAGAUAAAAGUAUGUAAAAGUAGAUAAAAGUAGGUUAAUUGUGUAAUAUCUUCUAGAGAAGCUUCUUAGAAGCUUCAUAGACGCUGCUUUGACUUUAUUGGAAUCUAUAGUUGACUUUUAGGCUAGAAACUUGGUCAACAAGUUAGCCAUGUGCCACACAUGUUGGAAGCUUAAAGAACAAGCUAACUACGUGGUCCAUCCAUAGAAAACUUGCCUUGUAAGCAAAGGCAUGUGGCCUAGAAAGUCAACAUAUAUUGGAGGUCUUAUAGAACAUCGCCAUGUGGCUUCUAGUUAGAUAGUAUAUAUAGAGGCAAGAGUGAAGCCCUCUUCACUCUUGUCAACUCCUUUCUUGCUUCUAGUCUAGUUUCAAGGGUCUCUAGUUUUCUUGUAUUUUGGCAAUAGCCAUUCCAGUUUCUUUCUUAAUAUACAUAUUUCUAUUUUGUCCUAUUUCUUUUUUGAGAAAAGUCUCACUUACUCUUUAGCUUUCAUCGAGUUCUUGUCCUUGACAGAGCAACGGAAGAUCGACGACUAGAUUUGGAGGAAGCAUUUUCUCGGCUACACAUUCUACUUACUGUAUAGUGAAUUCUAAGAUUGGGUGAAGGAGUUAUGAGGCGUUGAAGACAGCACUUGUAAUUUGAAGGCAGUAAGUAUAUCGUUUUGUUGCUAGUUAUGGGUGAAGCCAUAUCUUGAGUUUCUGGACGAAUUUUUGGCUCAAAAUUUCCACAAGUGUGUGUAAUUGGGUUAAAAAGCUUUAGAUCAAAGUUUCAUAGUAUUUGAAUAAUUAAUUUGUGAGAUAUAAAGGAAGUUGUACACGGGUGUAAAAAAGCUAGGGUUUGAAGCUACAGUUAGGGUUUUCAAGAUAUCACAAAAUCCAAGACGAAUUUACGGUUGAAUUUUGGUGUGGUAGUUGCUAAAGAUAUAUCAGUACUCUAUGUAAAAUUUGGAGUUGUUUAGACGGUUAGAUCGUAAGUUAUGAGCUGUUGAACUUCAGAAAAAAUUCCUCAUAAGGAUAUAUAAGUUUUUUAUAACACCUUAUCAAGUAUUUUGGUGUUCUUUGGAUUUUAAGGCUUGUAUAUUGAUUUAAUUGCUCCAAAAGAGAGGAGUUUAUAUAUAUAAAAUUGUUACCCUUAUAUUUCAAACUUGAUUGAGUAUUUAGUGACAGCCAGAAGCCCAGCGCUUUCUUGAGGCAAACUCUCUCUACCUCGACAUAUUUGGUGCUUCCACUGAGAGAGCCUUAAGGCACUAAAAUUCUCAAUAAGUUAGAAUGGGGGAUCAAGUUCCAGGGUUUGGAUUACCAAGUGGAGUAGGUGCUCAUGAUUUAUUCAGGGCAUUUGCUCAAUUUAUGGAAGAAAGGUAACAGGUGCAUGGGGAGGAUAAGAAUACCACCAAAGCUUUACAAGUAGUGGUGGAUAAGGUUGGGAGGUUUGAUGGGAGGAACAUCACUAAGUUCCUCAGGGUUCAUACAUGUGAAAUGGAAGUGCAUCAGGUUUCAGAAGUAAAGAUGAUUUCUACCUUUGAUUUGGUAGUGGUACCAGAAAUCAGAGAGAGGGUGCAAGAGUUGCAUACUGAGACUAUAUCAUGGAAGAAAUUUGAAGAACUCUUGAAAGAUGAGUUUUUUGAGGAGGAUUCAGAAAGAAUGACAAAACAAACUUUUUUGGAUAGGAUAUAGCAAAGGCCAGGGAAUCAAAUGGCUCCCAAUGAAUUAAUCAGGGAAUUUGAGGCUAAGUUUGGACAGUUACCACGACAAGAGAGGUAGCUUUUGGAAACAAGGAAGAGUGGAUUGUUUUUACAAGCAGCUGAUGAACAUUUGGAGGAUAAGCUACUCUUUUAUCUAGCAGACAAGACAUCUGAGAGUGGUUUUACUAAUGAUUGGAAGCUAGUAAAAGAGACAGUGGGGCUUUUGGCUAGGCAACAAAAGAUUAAGACUCGUGGAUUAUUACCAAGGUUGGAGCCAAUGCGUGCAUCUCAAAAUCUAAUGCCACCUCAAAACAGAAUCAAGACUGUUAAGGAUGGUACUCUUGAAGAACUAAUUAAGGGCAUACAAGACUUGAAGGUGGAAAUGAUUGAAUUGAAGAAAUCCCAGAUGGCAAGCUCAUCAAAGACAAUUGAAGGCUCAAAGAGAUUUAUAGAAAGAUGUAUGUGGUGUGACAAUCAAAACCAUAAGCGUGGUGAGUGUGAUAGCUAUAAGGCUGCAAUCAAGGAUGGUAUUGUGUAUUUCAAAGAGGGUAGGAUAAGACUCACAGGGUCAGAUGAGCCUCUAAAGACUAAUUUUGGGAAGGGUGGCAUGAAAAAAUUAGUAGAGGAGCAAACAUCAAAGAAUAGUGCCAUAAAAGGGGAAGGAGCUGAGUCUUAUUCUAUUACAGUUGAACAAAAGGGAGUUAAGGCUGUUUCUUUGCCAACUAAAGGAGUCAUGAUGAGGGGAGCUGAAGCUAUCAGAAAGAAAACUGGGUGGAAUGAUCCAGUUGAUGCUAUUAGCAUUAAAGCAGAUUUGUGUGGAGACAAGCAUGAUGAUGAUAUGCAUGAUGCUAUGGUUGAGGAAAAAAGAGGUAGAACUAUUCAUGAAGAGGAUGUUAUUGAGCCUGAAAACAAGAGGAGGUCUCCAAGAAAUAAAGAAGCUUCUAAGGAGCAAAAAACUGAGAAGGUAUCUUCUUCUACUCAUCAUGGUAGUGCACCAUUACCAAAAGAGUGGUGGGAGAAGGACAAAGAAAAGGAGAAAGAAGAUACAAGCAAACCUAAAGGUAAAACUCCUGCUUAUAAACUUCAAUCUGAGAUUGAAUCAUCUACAGAUAUGAAGAGUAUUUUAGAAGAGAAGAUCUUGGAUGCAAAGAUUGAAUUCACUCUAAGAGAGGCUCUAGGCAUAGCCAAGAAGGAUUUUCAUGAAUUAAUCAUCAAUGUGAUAAAGAAGAAGAGGCAAAUGAUAGCAGAAGCUAUUAUGGUAGAGGCAUUGGAUACUUGGAUAACUGUGGAUGAAGAAGAAGAGAUAGGACAGGUAUUUGCACAAUUUACAAUGCCUGAAACUAGAAAUAAGGUUGAUAUGGAAAACAAGGUUUCAUUUAAACAUGUUGAAGGUAAAAGAGAGCAUCAAGUGGAAUGCACACCUUUGGGAUUUACAGGGAUAAGGAAGGAUGCACAAGAAGUAAGUGUUAAUACUUGCUCCAAAUGUGAAAAUGAGGGAAUAGAGAGUAGUAGUUAUUCAGUUCCUUAUUGGGCUAGAGCUACUACAGAAACAUAUGUGAGAUUGGGGGACUUUAAAGAUCCAAUUUUGGCCCUGGUUGAUCAUGGAUCUGAAAUCAACAUCAUGUCAAGGAAGAUAUAUGAGAAGAAUAAGUGGCCAAUUGAUAUCAACCAUGGUUGGGUAAUCAGAGCUGCAAACAAUCAACAAGGUGAUUUACAUGGAACUUAUCCAGCUGUAAAGACUAGAAUUGGAGAUGUAGAAGUGGAACAAAAUUUCUUUGUGUAAAACUCUGCUACAUAUCCGGUAAUACUUGGUCAACCUUAUAUUACAGCUGCUAGAAUGGAGACUAGAGUCUUGAAUGAUGGUUCACAUUAUGCCAGAAUUCAAAAUUGGGAUGGGAGAAAAGUUGUGCAAUUUAUUACUGUGAAACCUAUCCAUGAGAGAUACAGAGAAUAAUUAAGAGGGAUGCCCUUGGAGCCAGGAAAUAACUUUGUGGAUUUCUAAAAAGCACCCUUGUAAGAUAGGGGCACAUGGGUGCAAAUGAUUCAUCUACAAACCCCAGUGUAGAUAGUAUGAGUUUUGGAUUUUUGAACUUAUCUAGUAAUGGAUUUGUGAGUGUUCAAAAGGUUAAAGAUUUAGAUUCUAUAAAUAAAAAAAAUGGUAAAGAAACAAGAGAAGAACUUAAAAAGAGUGGGUUUAGUUUCAAGUGAUGAAGCCAUAGUUGGAGUAAUAGAAGAAAUAGGUUUGGAAGAUGAUUUGGUAAAGGUUUUGGAGAAUCUGGCUAUAAACAUAGAUGGAGAUGCUAUAGUAGAAAUAUAUUCAAGAAGGACUUAUGAAGGAUUAGAAAGGAUGGUAGCAAAUGGUGGACUUGCUACAAACUAUGGGUUGAAGCAUGAGGCUAGAGUACAAACUAAAUAUAAAACUGUGGCAAGAAAGGUAAAGCCUGUAGCUACACAAUUACCAGUUGAUAAUAUGGAGCAUAUUAAACAAGCAGUUAUGGAGCCAAGUCUAAGAGAGAGGCGUCAAAUUGGACAUCAAUUUAUACAAGAAUCAUUAGCUAAGUUGAAGAUUGGAGGGGGUGACUUCUUAACAUCAACGGAGGAAGAUAUGUUUCAAGAAAUGCUUAUUAGACAUGGUAAGGCAUUUGCCUUAACUCUUGAUGAAAUCAGAUGUGUGGAUCCUAGUAUUAUAGUACCUAUGGUAAUCUUUACAGUGCCACAUGUUCUAUGGGAUUUAAAGCCUAUACCUGUGCCUAGAGCUUUACUUCCAAAAUUGAUAGAAUUAUUAAAGAGAAGGUGAAGAUGGGUAUUUUGGAACCUUCAAUUGCUCCCUAUUCUAAUAGAUGGUUCACAGUACCCAAGAAGUCACAGGCAUUAAGGUUUAUUCAGGAUAUACAACUUGCAAACAGGGUGACUAUUCGAAAUAUGGGAUCAGGUCCCAUAGUAGAUGAAGUGGCUGAACAAUUUGCAGGUCAUGCCAUUUAUUCUAUUGGAGACUUAUAUUCUGGAUAUGACCAAUUUCAAUUGGCUAAAGAGAGUAGAGAUUUAACUACCAUGAAGACUCCUUUGGGUUUAAUGAGGAUGUGUACGCUACCUCAAGGUGCAACCAACUCAGUGGCUCAUAUGCAAAAUGCUAUGAACCAAAUAUUAAAAGAAUUUGUACCUGAGAAAACCAUUCCAUUUCUAGAUGAUAUACCUAUAAAAGAAGAUAAAAAAGAAGACAAGGAUGAGACUACGGAGGUUGAAGGUUGUAGAAAGUUUGUGAAGAAACAUAUUGAAGAUGUGGCUCAGAUAUUGGAGAGAUUGGAGUCAGUUAAUCUCACGUUAUCUUUAGAGAAAUCAAGCUUUGGAGUUGAUGAGAUUCUAGUGGUGGGGCACAUGUGUGGCAGGUAUGGUAGGAAACCAAAUCCUGAUAAGAUUGAUGCUAUAUCUAGAAUUGAGGCUUGUAAAAAUGUUACAGAAGACAGAAGGUUUUUAGGAGCAUGUGUAUUCUAUCACAUUUGGGUGCUACACUUUGCCCAUAUCUCAGAGCCACUAUAUAAGUUAUUAAGGAAGGGUAAGAAAUUUGUAUGGGAAGAAGAACAAGAAACAGCUAUGGAAAAUCUAAAAAAAAUGUUGAGUUCACCACCUUUGCUUAAACAAGUGGAUUAUCAAUGUGAAAGAUCAGUAGUUGUAACAGUGGAUACAAGCCCUAUAGCAAUUGGAUGGGCUAUUGGACAAAAUGAUGUAGAGGGAAGAAGAUUUAUUAUAAGGUUUGGAGCUAGGAUUCUUACAAAGAGACAAAGGGCUUAUCCACAAGUUAAAAGAGAGCUUUGGGGAGCGCUUACAGCAUUAAAGGCUGAGAGAAAUUAUUUGAUUGGAGCAAGUAUGGUUUUGGAAACAGAUUUUUUGCCAUUACUUUGAAUGAUAAUUAAAUGUACUACUCCAGAUAUUGCCAUGCUAAGAUGGAUAGCCUAUAUAAGGAUAUUAAACCCUGUUUUGGUACAUAUUACUGGUAAAGAGAACUUGGUGGCAGAUAUGUUGUCCAGAGCUAGAUAUACAUUUGAAGAAGAGAUGAUGGCAUAUGAAAGAGGUGAAGAUGAAGAAGAGAAGAAUUAUGGAAGUUCAUUUGCUACUGGUGGAAUGGAUUUUGGUGACAAGGUUCAAAAUUUCUAUGAAGGUACAUAUGAAGGCAAGUUGAAGGAUAUUGGAAUUUAUUUAAGCACAAUGAAAAAACAAGAAGGGUGGAUGGACAAAACCUUCAAAGAUAUUAGACACCAAUCCUAUGGUUAUAUACUCAGGGAUGGAUUUCUAUGGAAGAGGCCAAAAAGAGGUGACAAAAUCCCAUUGAGAGUUAUAGGAGAUCUUGAAACUAAAAUUAAGAUUUUAAGAGAAUAUCAUGAUACACUUUGGGCAGGACAUAGAGGAGUUUGGGCCACAUAUACUAAGAUCAAAGAAAGGUAUUGGUGGAAGGGUUUAUACAAAGAUGUAGAAGACUUUGUAAGUUCAUGCACAGAGUGCCAACUACAAUCUAAGAUUAGGUAUAGAGAUGGAUUACAUCCUACUUAUCCACCUUCUAUACAUUUUCAAUGGGUAAUUGAUUUGGUAGCUAUGCCUUCAGGAUUAUGGGAUAUGAAAUAUUUGAUUUUAGCAAGAGAAAAGUUAUCAAACUAUGUUGAAGGAAGAGCUUUGAGAACCAAGACCACGGAAGCAAUAUGCAGGUUUAUAUUAGAAGACAUCUUCAGUAGAUAUGGCUAUAUUGGGAGGAUGAGAGCUGAUAGAGGAGAAUUGGAUGCCAUAGAAGCAAGAGAUUUUUUCAAAAGGUAUGGAGUUCAAUUGAAGUUGACUACUUCUUAUAAUCCUGAAGCCAAUGGAAAGAGUGAAAGAGAUCAUCCUCCAAUUAUUUAUGCAUUGGUUAAGGCAUGUAAGGGUAAAUCAAUUCAAUGGCCUAAACUGCUUUCAUUUGCUUUAUGGGCUGAUAGAACUACUCAUAGUACUGUCACUAGUUAUAUGCCUAUGGAAUUAAUGCUAGGACAAAAACCUAUAAUGCCUGUUGAAGCAACCUAUCCUACAUGGAUGUUUUUGUCUUGGGAAGAUAACAUUAAUAGAGAAAGGUUAUUAGAGCUUCGAAUCCAACAGUUAAGAAGAUUACUUGAGGACCUACAAAUUGCAGCUGAGAGGUUAAAAGAAGCAAGAUUAAAAAAUAAAGAGAGGUUUGAUAAGACUCAUAGGUUAAGGCCUAAACCUAUAGAGAUUGGAGAUUGGGUUCUAGUUUAUGAUAGCAGCCUUGAGCAUCAACAUAGUACUGUAAAGAAAUUUGCAAAAAAAUAGAUUGGACCAUAUGUGGUGGUUAUAGUCCAUGAUAAUGCCACAUAUACCUUACGAAAGUUAGAUGGAGCUAUCAUUAGAAUUCCAAUAGCAAUGAAGAGGGUGAAGGCUUUCAAAAGAAGAGAUGGGCGGUUUCAAAUAGAAGAUCUUGAAGAAUUCUUACCUCAAUAUUUGGACCAAGAACAUGAAGAAGAAGACUCUAUGAGUGAUUCUAAGAAGUCUCAAGAGGAUGAAGAAGAGUAGUAUGUGGCACAUACCGGAGGAUGUGCAGGUUUGGAGGGGGUGGAUGUCGUACUGUAAUUACUUACAGUAUGUAAAAAUUAGUGAAAACAUGUAAUAAGUUUGUAAGUCUUAAUGUGAGUUAGAAUAGUUAGUAUGUUAAUUUAAAAUGAAUUGAAAUAAGAAAAAUUAUUUGGAAGUUAAUCUAGUUUGAUCAUAGAGUUUAUAUUAUAUAGGAUUUAGAUAGUUAGUAUAAAGAUUAAGGGAAGGGAGGAGUUAAAAGAUGAAAAUAUAACUAGAAGGAGGCUUAUUGGGAAGGAUGAAAGUAAGGCAUGGUUGGAUGAAGGCAAGGGGUGAAGAACUUCAUCCCUAUUGGUCGAAAACCAUGCCCAAUGGGCUUUGAGGGGGCUGCCCGAGGCCAUAUUAGGAAUUAGGGUUCCUCUUUCGAGGCCAUUCGAGCUUUUGAGGCUAGAGUCAGAAGGUUUAGGGUUUUGGGUAUAAUUUGGGUGAAGAUUUUGUGUGAUUUCGAGUUUUUAUGGAAAAGAUAUGAAUGUUCAAAGAUAAGGUGUCAAUUUCGUACCUACUGUCACUUCUUUUGGGCAUCACAUACGAAUACGGAGAGCAACGGAAGAUCGACGACUAGAUUUGGAGGAAGCAUUUUCUCGGCUACACAUUCUACUUACUGUAUAGUGAAUUCUAAGAUUGGGUGAAGGUGUUAUGAGGCGUUGAAGACAGCACUUGUACUUUGAAGGCAGUAAGUAUAUCGUUUUGUUGCUAGUUAUGGGUGAAGCCAUAUCUUGAGUUUCUGGACGAAUUUUUGGCUCAAAAUUUCCACAAGUGUGUGUAAUUGGGUUAAAAAGCUUUAGAUCAAAGUUUCAUAGUAUUUGAAUAAUUAAUUUGUGAGAUAUAAAGGAAGUUGUACACGGGUGUAAAAAAGCUAGGGUUUGAAGCUAUAGUUAGGGUUUUCAAGAUAUCACAAAAUCCAAGACGAAUUUACGGUUGAAUUUUGGUGUGGUAGUUGCUAAAGAUAUAUCAGUACUCUAUGUAAAAUUUGGAGUUGUUUAGACGGUUAGAUCGUAAGUUAUGAGCUGUUGAACUUCAGAAAAAAUUCCUCAUAAGGAUAUAUAAGUUUUUUAUAACACCUUAUCAAGUAUUUUGGUGUUCUUUGGAUUUUAAGGCUUGUAUAUUGAUGUAAUUGCUCCAAAGGAGAGGAGUUUAUAUAUAUAAAAUUGUUACCCUUAUAUUUCAAACUUGAUUGAGUAUUUAGUGACAGCCAGAAGCCCAGCGCUUUCUUGAGGCAAACUCUCUCUACCCCGACACUGUACUGCAUAUAAAAUUACUACCAAUGCUACCCCUUUCCAAUUGGUUUAUGGCCAGGAAGUAAUAUGAUCUAUUGAAUUGGAAGUCCAAAUUUUAUGAAUUGCUAUAGAUACUAGAUUAAGAGAUCAGGAUUCAUUACAAUACCGUUUAGAAGAAUUAGAAAAAUUUGAUGAAACUAGAGCCAAUGAAUUAAUGAUAAUAGAAACGAUACAAAAACAAAGGAAGACUUAUUAUGAUAGUAAGCUUAAACUAAAGGCUUUUAUGCCAAAUGAUUUGGUACUUCUUUAUGAUAGUCGAUUUAAAAAAUUUCCAAGAAAAUUUCAAGUUCGAUGAUAUGGGCCAUAUUGAGUUAUUGAAGGAUUUUCAAAUGGUUCAAUAUAAUUGGAAGAUUUUAUGGUACUAAGUUUACGACACGGAUCAAUGGCAAUCGGCUUAAACUUUACUAUCCUUAAACCCAGGAUGGGUUUAUGUUCCAAAAAGGGGAGUCGACUUUAUUGAUUGGACCAUAGUAAGAAGUAAGAGGAGGGCUCUUGAGAAGCAUCGUGUUUUCUUAUGUGGUUAAGGAGAAGAUGGCAAACAUGGUAUCUGAGACAGUAAGGAUGGAGAACGAUUGAAAGGAUCCGCAAGAACAGUUGCAAGUAGAGUUGCGGUGUUACAAAUUAAACUAGCUGCAUUAGUGAAGGAGGCGAAUAAAUUAGUGCAGAUCAAUACACCAGUUCCAGCGAUAAUACCUUUGGAGAUACCUUUGAAACCGACAGAAGAAUGGCAGAAGAUGUAAGAGGAGCAUGACAACCAAAUUGUCUGAUGUGAGUCUCAGGUAUGGAAAUUAGAUUUGUUGAAUGAAAUUCUGACGGCACGUUUGGAUGGAGAACCCUCGAAUAUUGAGACAGAUGAUAAAGAUAUAACACAGGAGAAUGUCACCAAUUCAAAGUGUGGUAAGCCAAUGCCAUUGACAGAAGAAGCCAACACUGCUAUGUCUUUAGAAGUUGAGGCUAAAUAAUGUUUGCGAGGAAGCUGCACAAUUAGAAGUGGCGCUAUGUAAAAUAGGUAAAUAAACUUUGUGAUAAGUUACUGGUUGGUUAUUAACAAUCUUGAGAAUUAGAUUGAUAUUUAGGCAGUUAAGUUGGUAAUAAUAGGUUAUUAGUAGAAUAAAUGAUUAAGAAUUCAAAGGGUCAUAACCUUUGAAAUCUGCUAGCUGACAGAUCAUCUUUUUGGUAGGAUAAAUAGAAUGAGAAUCGUAAGCCAAGAGCCAGAUUGUGAGAGUUGUAAGUCGAGAGCUAAAUUAUGAGAGUCGUAAGUCAAGAGCCAAACUGUGAGAGUCAUAAGCCGUAAGCCAGACUGUGAGCAUCGUAAGCCAGGGUAAGCUUGGUGCUACAUCUUUGUUUUCUUCAUAAUUUGCUUAUGAAGAAUUAUGAUUGACAGAAGUAUUGUUGAAUUGAUGAUCGUAGAAUGAAUUAUGGGUAGAAUUAAGAUGGAAGUAGUAAGCCUCGAUAUUUUAUAGUUUGAUACUUGAUUUCAGAUAGCUAGAAUAAAGUCAAUUAUGACACUCACAGACCCAAUUCAUAUAACUAGUCUUUCACUGUAUUCGAACCCACUUCUAUUAGUUCAAUUUCUUUGGUAUACUGAAGCUUUAAUGCAAUAAGAACAAUACGGAUAUUCACAUGUAAGCCAAUAAUCACAUGUAUAAAUAGAUAGAAGUAAGUAAAAAUAGGUAAAAAUAAAUUAAUUCUAUAGUAUUUAUUAUAAAAGCUUCCUAGAAGCUUCAUAAACACAGCUUUGACUUUAUAGGUGUCUUUAAUUGACUUUUUGGAUUAGAAACAUGGUCAACAAGUUGGCCAUGUGCCAUACAUAUUAUAAGCUUGAAGACUAAGCUAAUUAUGUGGCUCACAUGUCGAAAAACUUAUCUUCUAAGUCAAGGCAUGUGUCCUACAAAGUCAACACAUAUUGGAGGUCCUAUGGAAUUUCACCACGUAGCCCCUAGUUAGAUAGUAUAUAUAGAGACAAGAGUGAAGCCUUCUUCACUCUUGUCAAUUCUUUUCUUGCUUCCAGUUUAGUUUCAAGGGUCUCUAGUUUUCUUGAAUUUUUGGCAAUAGCCAUUCCAGUUUCUUUCUUAAUAUAUAUAUCAAGUCAUUUCUAUUUUGUCAUCUUUCUUUGAGAGAAGUCUCACUUUUUUAUUUGUCUUCAUCAUGUUCUUAUCCUUGACAGAUUCACAAGAGUACACUUACAAUAUCAGAGCUUUAUCUUUUUUUGAUUAACAGUGGAUUAUCCCUUUUUAUUGAUAAGACAUAAGCAUAUUAAGAGUUGCGGAUUACCUUCUUUUAAACUGAUAUUAUUUUUAGUAUUUUCUUUGUUCUCAAGUCCGUUCUCUUACUUGUCUUGAGCAAUAUUAGAAAUUUUUUUUUCUAGGUGUUAUCAUGGCAAAGCUUGUCAAAUUGAAGAGUAUAAUGACACAAAUGCAAGAAUAAUUGAGGCAAUUAAUGCUUGUGAUGCAUCAACUUAAUUCACCAAGAGGAAGAAGAAUAAGAAUAACAGAAAGUGGAGAUGUAGAGAUGGUCAAAGCUGCCUCAACAUCUACAUUGAAUCAUGCCUCUUGUUCCAUGGUGGAACACCAUUCAAAUAGUAGAGAACCAAGAAUUACCUUAUCCAAGAAAUUUGAUGGUAUGAGAUCAAAGUUUCGAAGAUUCAUCAAUCAAGUACAAUUGACAAUCAAACUUCAAUCCCAAAGCUAUUCAACUCCAAGAUCACAAGUCAGGUUUAUUGGAAGACUACUUUUCGGUUCUGCGUUAUCAUCGUUUUUAUCUUUUCUUGAACCACAAGAUCCAAUAUUGGAUAAUUUCAAAGCUUUCUUGGUGGAAUUUUGAUCUAUGUAUAGAGAACAUGAUACAGUUCAUGUUGCAACAAAUAAGAUCCGUAUCUUGGGACAAAGAAAUCGAUCUGUAACAAUAUAUGCUUCAUAAUUUUGACAACUUACAAUUGAUACCAAGUCGGAUGAUAUUGCACUCAUUAACCAAUUCCUUCAUGGACUACAAUAUGAGGUAAAAAAAUUGAUGCUCAAGUUACCCGAUCCUGAAACAUUGAGUCAAGCAAUUGAUUUUGCUAUAAAAUGUGACAAUCGACUUUUUGAAUUUUGAUAUGAGAAUCACAUAAGUAGGCCUCAACAUUAAUACAAUUCAAUGGCAACACCUACGUCUUUCUAACACAUAUCUUCAAAAAUAAAAGAUAUGCAAAUCAAUACAAUAUAUUUCAAACAUCUUACUGAACAAGAAAAGACUCGUCGUCCUCAAGAAAGAUUAUGUUUAUAUUAUGGAGAACCAAAAUACACUGCUCAACAUUUUUCAAAAAAAUGACACAACCACAAAAUGAGGACUAUGGCUGUCAAAGAAGACAAUAUGUCUAAAACGAAUUUGUCUAGCUAUAAUAGGGACCGUUGUUGUGUUAUAACAUGAGUAUACUGUGAAAAUAUAAAGAAAGGGGACUUUUGUUAAUGUUCAAUUACCUCGAAUAUUGGGAGCAACAACCAAUUCCAGUGCAAGUACUAAGAGGUCAGGUUCAGUCACCCCGUUACAGUCAGAUGGGACUUACUAAAAUGCUCCAUUCGAUUCCAAUAAUGGGAGUCAGUAGAAAGGAAAAGGACCAAUUUAACGACGAGUGUGCCUGGUUCGAAGAGCCAAUUGGAUCCAAUUUCAAGACAUCGAAUCCAGGUCUUACUACGGGCCUCUUAGCCAAUCUGACGUGAAGGACCAAUUUGACCCAAUUACGGGAACAUCCAAGUCUUACGACGGGCCUCUUAGCCAAUAUGAGACCUGAAUUGGUCGAGCGACUCAAUGUGGUCCCGAUUACGGGGGUUCCGAUUCCGUUUCAGGUUGUUCCAUCUUUUGUGCCGUUCCGGGAACGUCCUUUCGAUAAAAGGAUCUCUUAAAGGUAAAAACGGGGCAGAAGCUCUGACGGCGGAGCCAAUUCCAGAUCCAAGACGGCGGAUUGAAGAAAUUCAGAGGCUAGGGUUUGAAAGACGGGAGAAUUAGGGUUAAAGGAGAGGAUAGGUUAAGAAAUAGAAGGGAAGAGAAAAGUUUUUUUAGAAGGGUCGGGGAGAGCUUCAGGCUUCGGGCAGGGAAAAAAGACAGAGGAUUGGGGUUUUUUUUCUUCAUAGGGUUUUUGAAAGACUGAGGCAAUCGCUGCUGAAGUCAGUGUUGUACUGGUGAAUCGGGAUUUUAAUGAAGUGGGUGUAAUUACUCUUGACUGUUUUAUGAAAUCGAGUUACGUCUGUGAUGAAGAAUUAAAAGGGUGUCUAAAGGAUUGAGUAUGCAGAAUGAAUGAAAUUUAUUGGAUUAAUGUAACGAGACAAUCAGUGGUUACAAGAUCGUGAGUAUAAAGCGGUAUCGAAGAUUAGCAGUUUGGGUUGUUCGGGAUUCUCCGUAACGUCUAGAGACCUACCGGCUGGAGCAAAAAGGAUUUCGACGAGCAGUUGAAGGACAUCCAUAUAGAUUUAUGAUAUAUUCUUAUAGUUAUUUAUAUUCCAACAGUCAAAAACCAAUAAACUACUUAAAUAUUAGCGAAUCUCCAUACUACCUUCUAUAGUCAAACGCCCGACACAUUCUUGAGUAAGAAAGCACGUAAUACGACAGAAGUGGUGAACUCGACGUGAAAGCUUAAGGUGGAAGGUAUUGGAUUUCGUUUGAUUCUAUUUUUAUUUUUAUGGAAAACGAAAAUAAAAAUUUUGAAGGAUCUUUAGGAGGAGUUUUUCGUGGGGAGUCUUCUAAAGGACAAGGUAUGUACAUGGAUCCGUCUAUUGCUAGUAUGUUUCAAGCCUUCUCAUUAUCAAUGCAGCAACAACAAAGCAAUGAUCGAAAGAAAGCUUUGGCAACCAAAGCAUUGCAAGCAGUGGUCAAUAAAAUUGAUCAAUUUGAUGGAAGGAAUAUUUUAAGGUAUUUAAGAUGUUAUAUUCGUGAAAUGGAAUUAAAUCGGAUUUUUGAGAAGAAAAUGGUUGAAUUAUUUGGAUUUGCCACGAUACCGGAGAUAGGAGACCAUAUUACAUCGAUUAUAGAUCGUUAUGGAAAUUCAUGGGAGGUUUUUUCACAUGCAUUGAAAGAUGAAUAUUUCUUGGAAGAUGCUGAUCGCAUUACUAAGAAGUUGUUUCUGGAAUGGAUUGAAUGGCCUAAUAAGAAUUUACAAGCAACAGAGCUACUAAUGGAAUUUGAGAGGCAGUACUCUCAAUUAUCGAAGGUAGAAAAAUUGACAUUGGAGUCGAACAAAGUUGAUCUAUUUCUACGAGCUGCUGAUGGAAAAUUGCAAGGAAAAUUAGAACUCCUUCUUAAAGAUAAAGAAGAAGAUGAAGGAUUGACAAUAAAGUGGAAGAACGUUGAUGAUGCGGUGGGGUUGCUUACAAAAAGAGAAAGGAGGAAGGAUAGGAGCAAUAUUCCAAAAACAGUACAAGCACCCAAAGCUCCAGUACGUACAACACCACCAACAAUGCCUACAGUUCAACCUUCGACAUCCUUAUCAAAGAAAGCAGAUAUGGAGAUGGAAGAAAUUAUACGAGGAAUGUGAGAUCUUCAAAUCAAAUUGGCAAGACUUGAAGAGAAUACUUCUGCAAAUAAUUUGAAGAAUUUUUCAAAACAAAGAUAUGUACAAAGAUGCAUUUGGUAUGAUGAUGCUUCAUACACUAGAAAAGAUUACAAUGAAUUUAAUAAUAUGAUACGACAAGGAAUUAUUUGCUAGAAAGAUGGAAAGAUAGCAUUAAAAGAUAGGGAGGAUCUUCUUCAAACCAAUUUUGGCAAGGGAGGAAUGAGAGCAUUGGUUCAAGAUUACUUAAAAGAGCAUGAAACAGCAGCACGAGAAAGUGCAAGUUAUGGUGCUAGAGUAGAUGACGACCUUGGUGGAAGUACGAAAACUAGUGAGUUUUGGACUUCUGCCAUUUUUAUAAUGUAAGAAGGGAAAUUACCUCGAGAAGCGUUAUUGAGGAUUGCAGCUACAAUACGAGGUGCAACAGGUUGGGAGGAUCUUGUUGAAUCUCUUUCAGUUCAUGCAUAUAUUGCUAAGAGCCAACAUGAAGCUUUGAUGGAAGAAAAGAGAUAAGGAAAUUUUGAUAAUACGAGAGAAGGAAAUUCUUCUAAGAGGCAAACUCGAGGAGACAAGGCUCGGGAGGCAGCUUCACAAGAAUUGUCUGUAAAGGAUACCUCAGCAUCAUUGGAAGAAAAAACAAUGGAGACAAAAGAUAAGAACAAAUCAAUUGCUUAUAAGCUACUUUCUGACAUUGAAGCGACAACAAAUUUGAAAGGGGUGUUGGAAGAACGUAUAUUAAAUGCUAAAGUGGAAUUCACAUUGAAAGAAGUCUUGAAAAUUGUAAAGAAGGAGUUUCAUGACGUUAUCAUUGAUAGCAUUAAGUGAAAAAAGCAAUUAAUGGACGGAACUGGAAUGAGUCAUGCUAUUGAUGCAAGAACAUAUAAAGAUGAAGAAGAGGUUGAUAUUGGUUAGAAGCAAGCAAAAAUUGAAAAGAAUGGAUAUAAUCAACGAGUACGUUUCGAAGAUUAUAGUGAUAAAGAAAUGGAAACUUUGAGUCAUUAUACUCAAAAGCAUUGGACAAGGGCAACUAUUGAGGUAUUGGUGAAAAUAGGAGAUAUAGAAGAACCAAUUGUUGCUUUAGUCGACCAUGGUUUUGAAAUAAAUCUCAUGUCUAAAGAUCUUUAUAAGGAGCAAAAAUGGCCAAUUGAUAUGGAACAUGGAUGGGCAAUAUGAGCAGCUAAUAACACAUGGGGCGAAUUAUAUGGAGCUUGUCCAGAUGUCAAAAUUUGGAUUGGAGAUGUUGCGAUAGAGCAACAUUUUUUUGUUCAAGAUACAACGUCUUAUCCAUUGAUUUUAGGACAACCUUAUAUUACGACAACUCGGAUGGAAAUAAAAGUAUUUGAUGAUGGUUCUGCUUAUGCAAGGGUACUUAGCAAAGAUGGGAGGAAAGCUGUACAAUUUCUAACAGUACCUCCUAAUCAUAAACGGAAUCGAGAUAGGUUGAGGGAGAAACCAUUGCCAAAGAUUGUUGAAGGAUUUAAGGAUUUCGAGAGGUACCACUGUAAAGCGAGAUUAUGGAGGUACAAAAGAGGAGGUACUCUCGCGAGAUGAAGGUGCCUUUGAUGCGAGUUUUAUUGAUAUUUUGGAGAAUAGAAAUAUUAUGUAUAAAAAAGUUGAUGAUUUUAAAAGAAAAGAAAGAAAAAGAUUAUAUGAUAUUGAAGGAGAAUUACGCAAGUUAGGUACGCAGCAAGAAGAUGAAAGUGAUUUAGAUAAUGAAGGUCACGAAGACGAACUGGAGAAAGAUGUAGAGAAUAUAUUCUAAAUCAAACAACAGUUGGAUAAAUUGGUGCAUACCGGAGGAUGUACAGGUUCAGAGGGGGUGGAUGUCGUGUUGUAACACGAAUAUAUCGUGAAAAUAUAAAGAAAGGGGACUUUUAUUAAUGUUCAAUUACCUCGAAUAUUGGGAGGAAUAACCAAUUCCAGUGCAAAUACUGAGAGGUCAGGUUCAAUCACCCCGUUACAGUCAGUCGGGACAUAUUGAAAUGCUUCGUUCGAUUCCGAUACUAGGAGUCAGUAGAAGAAAAAGGACUAAUUCAACGACGAAUGAGCCUGGUUUGAAGAGCCAAUUGGAUCCAAUUUCAAGACAUCUAAUCCAGGUCUUACUACAGGCUUCUUAGUCAAUCUGACGCCAAAGACCAAUUUGACCCAAUUACGGGAACAUCCAAGUCUUACUACGGGCCUCUUAGCCAAUAUGAGACCUGAAUUGGUUGGGCGACUCAAUGUGGUCCCGAUUAUGGAGGUUUCGAUUCUGUUUUAGGUUGUUCCAUCUUUUGUGUUGUUUCGGGAACGUCCUUUUGGUAAAAGGAUCUCUUAAAGGUAAAAACGGGGGAGAAGCUCUAAUGGCGGAGCCAAUUCUAGAUCGAAGACAAAAGAUUGAAGAAAUUCAGAGGCUAGGAUUUGAAAGAGGGGAGAAUUAGGGUUAAAGGAGAGGAUAGGUUAAGAAAUGGAAGGGAAGAGAAAAGUUUUUUUAGAAGGAUCGGGGAGAGCUUCAUACUUCGAGCAGAAAAAAAAGACAGAGGAUUGGGGUUUUUUUUCUUCAUAGGGUUUUUGAAAGACUGAGGCAAUCGUUGCUGAAGUCAGUGUUGUACUGGUGAAUCGGGAUUUAAAUGAAGUGGGUGUGAUUGCUCUUGACUAUUUUGUAAAAUCGAGUUACGUCUGUGAUGAAGAAUUAAAAGGGUGUCUAUAGGAUUGUAUAUGUAAAGUGAAUGAAAUUUAUUGGAUUAAUCUAACGAGACAGUCAAUGGUUACAAGAUCGUGACUAUAAAGCGGUAUCGAAGAUUAGCAGUUUGGGUUGUUCGAGGUUCUCUGUAACGUCUAGAGACCUACCGGUUGGGACAAAAAGGAUUUCGACGAGCAGUCGAAGGACAUCCAUAUAGAUUUACGAUAUAUUCUUAUAGUUGUUUAUAUUCCAACAAUCAAAAACCGAUAAACUGCUUGAAUAUUAGUGAAUCUCCAUACUACCUUCUACAGUUAGACGCCCGGCACGUUCUCGAGCAGAAAAGCACAUAAUAUGACACCGUGCAGCUGGAACCUUGCACAACAUCUAAUAAAGGUCUUAUUCUCUCCUCAAAACCCUCUCCUUGUUUUACAUUAAAUGUUAAUCUAGGACCUUUACAUUACAAAGCCUUUGCCUUGUUAGAUUAAAUGUUAUUCUAGGACCUUUACAUUACAAAGCCUUUGCCUUGUUACUAUUCAAGUCGAUUUCUUAGGUUACAUCAUUUCAAAUGAUGGACUUAUGAUGGAUCCUGAGAAAGUUCAAACUAUUAUAGAUUGAAAGAUCCCAAAAAUGGUAAGAGAUGUCCAAUGCUUUUUGGGAUUUGCCAACUACUAUUGGAUCUUCAUCAAAGACUUCUCUCAAGUUGCAGCUCUACUUACACGUUUGACUUGUAAAGACAAACUCCAAUGGAAUCAAGAAGUGUAAGUUGCUUUAGAAUCUUUGAAGACAGCGUUUCUUUUUGCACCAAUCUUGUAUCGUGUUGAUUUUUUUAAAGUAUUCUUUAUGGAAAUAAAUACAUCAAACUUUGCUCUAGGUACAAUUUUGUCACAAAUGGGAACUUAUGAUAAACUUUAUCCAGUAGCCUUUCAUUCAAAAAAAUUCUCAACUGCAGAAAUUAAUUAUGAAAUCCAUGACAAAGAACUUAUUGCAAUUGUGGAUUCCUUUCAAGGAUGGCGUCAUUAUCUAGAAGGCCUUUCCACUCCAAUCACCGUAUAUAUGGAUCAGAAGAACCUCGAGUAUUUCAUGUCAGCAUGCAUAUUAAAUCAUCGUCAAACUUGUUGGAGCAUGUCUUUAUCAAGAUUCGAGUUCAUCAUCACUUAUCGGCCAGGAAAACAACAAGGUUUGUCUGAUGCCUUGUCUAGACAUUCUUAUCUUGUACCAAAAGAAGGAGAUACAGCUUUUGAGCAACAAAGAAUGGUUCUCUUGAAAUCGGAGCAAUUUCAUCUUCGAGUAAUAAAAUCAACAUUGACUGUUGAUUUAACUUUUCUCAAGCAAGUCUAGUUAAGUAUGUCUUCAGACCCUCUUGUUCAUGAUAUCAAGAAUAAUUCUUCUAAAUCUCAUGAUCCCUCUAAAUUCAAGUUCAACAAUAACCUACUCUAUUUCAAAAGACGCCUUUAUGUUCCAGAACGAGAAGCAUAUUUAUGUAUUCUUCAAGCUCAUCACGACUUUCCAGCAGCAGGAUAUUUUGGAUACAGUAAGACUUUGGAGCUAAUAUCUAGGGAUUUUUGGUGGCCUCAAAUGUGAAAGGCAGUCAAAGGUUUUGUACAAUCAUGUGAUGUUUGCUCAAAAUCAAAAACUCCUCGUUAUCGACCUUUUAGACUUUUUCAGCCAUUACCUAUUCUAGAACAACCAUGGUCUUUUAUUUCUAUGGACUUUAUUACGGAUCUUCCAAUCUCAGGUUCUUAUGACUCUAUAUUUGUGAUAGUAGAUCAUUUUAUCAAGAUGGAAUAUUUUGUACCAUGUAUAAAAUCUAUCAUAGGUGAAGAAAUAGCUAAGCUCUUUCUUAAGAAUAUCUGUCGCUAUCAUGGAUUAUUCAAGGAUAUUAUAUUAGAUAGGGGAACUCAAUUUGUAUCAAGAUUUUCGCGGACUCUUUCCAAGAUUCUAAAAGUGGAUGUAAAACUAUCUUUGACAUUCCAUCCUCAAAUUGAUAGACAAACGGAACGUGUUAAUCAAGUUUUGGAGCAAUAUUUAACAUGUAAUAUUAACUACCAAGAAGAUGAUUGGACAACUCUUUUGCCAAUAGCAGAGUUUGCUUACAAUAAUACGAUACAUUCUUCUACAAAACAAAAAACUUUCUUUGGUAAUUAUGGUUAUCAUCCAUGACUUGAUACUUUUGACUUUUCAAAAGUUGGUAAUCUUGUUGCAAAAGAUUUGACAAUUCAUUUAUCAAAGCUACAUGCAAUGAUGAAGGCGUAGUUAAAAGAAGCUCAAGAACAACAAAAGAUCAAUGUGGAUGUCUAUCAAAAGGAACAACCACCAUUUCACAUGGAUGAUAAGGUAUGGUUACUUUGUUGCAAUAUCAAGACCACUCGUCCUUGUGACAAGUUGGACUAUCAAAGGCUUGAACCAUUUUUUAUUUUUGCUCAAAUCAAUCCAAUUACAUAUCGUUUACAUUUAUCGGAGUCAAUAAAAAUCCAUCUAGUAUUCCACAUGUUUCUUCUUGAACUCUGCAAGACAGUGGAUAUAUCAAGAAGAAGACAAGCUCUACCUCCUUCUAUAGAAGUGGACAAUAAUAAAGAGUUUGAAAUGGAAGAAGUCUUAGAUUCAACGCGGGGCCGUAAUAAAUUAGAAUAUCUUGUCCAUUGGUGUGGAUAUGAUAUUAGUGAACGUACAUAGGAGCCAGUAAAAAAUCUUAUAAAUGCAGCAAAGGUGGUGGAGGCUUUUCAUCAACGACAUCCAUCAAAAUCAAGAUAAAAAUCUUAUUUAUAAAAGAAACAAGAUCUAGGUGAGAUAACAUUCUACUUUCAAUCCUUGUUUGUAGCUUCUUUGUAAUUAUAAUGCUAUUGUGUUGUAAAACAACUAUAUGGUGAAAAUAUAAAUGAAAAAGAUAUUAUUAAUAUUUUGUCAUCUAGGAUGUUAGAUACAGUGGCCAAUCCAGUGCCAAUAUUCAAAGGUAGUUAAUAUCACUCCACCGGUGUCGUGUUGUAACACGAGUAUACUGUGAAAAUAUAAAGAAAGAAGACUUUUAUUAAUGUUCAGUUACCUCGAAUAUUGGGAGCAACGACCAAUUCCAGUGCAAAUACUGAGAGGCUAGGUUCAGUCACCCCGUUACAGUCAGCCGGGGCUUACUGAAAUGCUCCGUUCGAUUCCAAUAACGGGAGUCAGUUGAAAGGGAAAGGACCAAUUCAACGACGGGUGAGCUUGGUUCGAAGAGUCAAUUGGAUCUAAUUUCAAGACAUCCAAUCCAGGUCCUCUUACCCAAUAUGAGACCUAAAUUGGUCGGACAACCCAAUGCGGUCCAAUUGCAGGAACAUCAAGGUCUUACUACGAGGUCUUACUAUGGGCCUCUUAUCCAAUAUGAGACCUGAAUUCGUCGGGUGACUCAAUGUUGUCCUGAUUAUAGGGCUCCGGUUCCGUUUCAGGCUGUUCCGUCCUUUGUGCUGUUCCGGGAACGUCUUUUUGGUAAAAGGAUCUCUUAAAGGUAAAAAUAGAGGAGAAAGCUCUAACGACGGAGCCAAUUCCGGAUCUAAGACAGAAGGAGCCAAUUCGGGAUCGAAGACGAAAGAAGCCAAUUUUGGAUCCAAGACGGAAGGAGCCAAUUCCAGAUCCAAGACGGAAGAUUGAAGAAAUUCAGGGGCUAGGAUUUGAAAGAGGGGAGAAUUAGGAUUAAAGGAGAGGAAGGUUAAGAAAUGGAGGGGGGAGUUUCAAAUCGGAUUUCUGGAUCGAAGAGCUAGCUUCAAGCUCUUUUCAAGGUCACUAGUUUUGUUUCAUUAGGGUUUGUGAGGGGAGAGCAAUCGCUCCUCAAAAUCAGUGUUUAUUUUGGUGUUUUGGAUUUUAUAUAAAACAUUGAUAGUUUACAUUCUCAAUCGGUUUGUGCAAGUCGUGUAGCAUCUAUAGGUCAAAAUUUGGUAUUGUCUGGAUAGUUGGGUGUGAUAAGUGUAUACAAAAAUUUGUGUUAAUCUAACGAUGCAAUCAAGAGAUAUCUGGGUUUUAGUACAAAGGGUUGUUGGAAGUUGGUAGUCUAGGGUUGGAUAGGGUUUCUCUGAUAUUUGAAGGUCUACCAAUUGGAUCAACGUAAUUUUUGGCUUGGUAAUAGAAGAUUUGGAGAUCAAGCGGCUAUUCAAUUUUGAGCUGGAGUUAAUGGUUGACAAAGGAGAAAUCACUUCUCGAGUUUCUACAUCAAAUUUCAAGGUUGCGGCUGAGUGUUAUCAGUGCGGUUUUUUGGACGUUUUCUUGCAAUCUAUAAGUUGGGUUGGGCUGAAAUUUUUUGAGCAUAUAGAAGGCUUAUACUGGUAUUUGGGUGCAAAAUUUCACACUAAGUGGACGGUUGGAUCAAAAGUUACAGCUUGUCAAAGCUCAUUGGCUAGGAUUAAGGCUUGUUAAGAAAAACAAAAAUAACUUAAUUAUAAAAGAAAUAAAGCAAUUGGAAUAUUGUAUGGUUAAAAUGACUAUGAAGAGUGUUUUUAAAUACUUGGAAAUUGAUAUUUUAAUUAUAUUCUUCAUACAUGGAUAAAAUCUAUCAAGGUUUCUUUGUUAUUUGCAAAAACAACUAUACCUUCCACAGCCAGAUAUCCAGUGUAUUCCCGAACAAGACAACAUGUAAUACGACAUCGGCAUCAUCAAACCAAGUACCUUCUGUACCAAUGGGAUAAUCAGGAUCAUUUUCCAACCCUAUAUGGAACAAGUCUAGUAGGUAUAUACUGGUAGAGACACCCAAUUUGUAUGAUGGGGGUGCAGGAAGACCACUUCGUCAUUUCCAUUGCAGACAAGUUGGUUAUUAUGUUAGUGAAUGUUUCAAUCCCAAAGCCAGUGAUGAUUAUGCAGUAGUGUGAAGGAAUUGCAAGAAAUCGAGGCAUACUGAUUAGCAAUGUGAUGCUCCAUCCAAUUUCAAUAAAUGAGAUCAGUAGAUCCAAAGUCCAGAAAAAUUGAAAGAAAUAAAUCAAGGUCCUCUAUAAUAUCUGGAGAUCUACUAUCUAGAAUAAGGUGACUUUUAGCAUGAUAAAUCGAGGACUUUUAGGCGAUAGUCAAGAUACAUCAAUGUGGAUUAACGGUAUUUUUUUGCAACCUAUAAGUUAGAUUGGAUUGAAACUUCUUGAGUAUUUAGAAGGCUUGCAAAGAUACUAGUGGUAGAAAUUUACAACAAUCAGACAGUUAGAUUGAAAAUUACAGCUUGCUAAAGCUCGCUCUCUAGAGUUAGGAUUAAAAAAUAAAAUAAAAUAAAAUAAUAAAUAAAUAAAUAAACAAAAAAAUAAAAACUAACAAAUAACAAAAGACUUUGUGCUUAUAAUAUCUUCAAGUUAUUAAAAAUAUUAUUUCUAAAUACUUUGUAUUGGGAUUAAGCUUUUACAUUGAAAUCCAAAAUAAUUUGUAAUAGAUGGUUGAAACCCACUAGCCUACCUAGAUACUUGUAAAUCAUUAUUUUAUCUUCCAUAGCUACAUGCCUGAUGCGUUCUCAAGCAAGAUAGCAUGUCAUAUGAAAACACUUAGAAGAUGGAGAACCAACAACCAGCGGAUUUGACUCAAUAGCCUUCGUUUACUAACUUAUCAGACAAGACAUUACAAUUGUCACGACCUUCAAGACGAUGCAAUUGAGAUGAAGAUCUUUAAGAAUAAUAUGUUCUUCUUCGAAUAGAUAUCAAGAUAGAAUGCGUUUGAUAUCACGACCUUGGAAGGGACUCUUGAUGUUUGGUGAUUUUACUAGAGGUAGGAAUAAUUCUUGAUGGUGUUCCAAAUAUUUUAUUCGAAGGAAGUUAUGAAGGCCUCAACAAUGAUCAAAUAACUGGAUGGUCUUCUUGCCCUGGUAUGGGAUACUACCGAUAGUUGAGAGGCCCUAUCAAUCAUCUUCAAAGAGAACAAAGUUCAAAGUAUGUAGCGAAUACAAUUCGUCACAUCAUAGAUUUCCUCAACAUAUGAUUAUCUCUCCUCGUGGAACUCGUCCGUUGAAGAAAGGAGUAAUGUCAUGGACAUACACAUAUAAGCCAAUAACUACAUGUAUAAAUAGGUAGAAAUAAAUAAAAGUAUGUAAAAGUAAGUUAAUUCUAUAAUAUUUACUAUAAAAGCUUCUUAGAAGCUCCAUAGAUACUGCUUUGACUUUAUAGAUGUCUUUAAUUGACUUUUUGGAUUCAAAACGUGGUCAACAAGUUGGCCAUGUACCACACAUGGUGUUAGCUUGAAGACCAAGCUAACUAUAUGGCUGACACGUAGAAAAACUUGCCUGGUAAGUCAAGGCAUGUAUCCUACAAAGUCAACACAUAUUAGAGGUCCUAUAGAACGUCGCCACGUAGCGUCUAGUUAGAUAGUAUAUAUAGAGACAAGAAUGAAGCCUUCUUCACUCUUGUCAACUGCUUUUUUGCUUCCAGUCUAGUUUCAAGGGUCUCUAGUUUUCUUGACUUUUUGGCAAUAGCCAUUCUAAUUUCGUUCUUAAUAUAUAUAUCAAGUUAUUUCUAUUUUUUCAUCUUACUUUGAGAGAAGUCUCACUCGUUUAUUUGUCUUUAUUGCAUUCUUUUCCUUAAUACUUAGAGGCUUUAUGUAUACAGAUAUAAUUCUUUAUGUAUUUAUAGUUUAAAAUUUGAUCAACAAGUUGUCUGCAUAUUGCACAUAUUAACAACUUGAAGAAUAAGUUGGUCAUGUAGCACUCAUAUAUGAAACUUACUAUGCAAAUUAAACAUGUGACUUACACGAUAAAAAAUUGUUGAAGGUCUUAAAGAAUGUUAUCAUAUAGUUCCUAAGUAUAUUUUACAUAUGGAAAAAAAAGUAAAGUCUUUUUUACUCUUGUGAAUAAAUAUUUAAAAUUAAGCUCAAUUUUUUUGGAGUAGUGGAUCGCUUCAAAGCACAUCUUGUGGCAAAUAAAUUCAACCAACUUCUAGGCUUAGGCUACAAUAAAACCUUUUUUAAUAGUCAUUUGCAUACAAUCAAUUUGACUCAUGUUUGCUUUAGCAGUUCAACUUGAUUUCUAUGUACAUCAAAUGAACAUUAAAAUAACAUUCUUAAAUAGAUCUAUUUAAGAAGAAAUAUAUAUAUAUAUAUAUAUAUAUAUAUAUAUGUAAAGAUCUUAAAUAAAGUCAUUUUUUUACAACUUGGUAUGGUGUGACCCCUUCACAAAACCAUUUAUGAAUUAAAACAAUCACCCAAGGAAUAGUUCAAGAUAAUCAAUACAUUUCUCAGCUUAUACAAAUCACUCUCAGCUUGUAAAUUGGAAUUAAAUAAAUCACUCUCAGCUUGUAAAUUGGAAUUAAAUAAAUCACUCUCAGCUUGUAAAUUGGAAUUAAAUAAAUCACUCUCAGCUUGUAAAUUGGAAUUAAAUAAAUCACUCUCAGCUUGUAAAUUGGAAUUAAAUAAAUCACUCUCAGCUUGUAAAUUGGAAUUAAAUAAGUCACUCUCAGCUUGUAAAUUGGAAUUAAAUAAAUCACUCUCAGCUUGUAAAUUGGAAUUAAAUAAAUCACUCUCAGCUUGUAAAUUGGAAUUAAAUAAAUCACUCUCAGCUUGUAAAUUGGAAUUAAAUAAGUCACUCUCAGCUUGUAAAUUGGAAUUAAAUAAAUCACUCUCAGCUUGUAAAUUGGAAUUAAAUAAAUCACUCUCAGCUUGUAAAUUGGAAUUAAAUAAAUCACUCUCAGCUUGUAAAUUGGAAUUAAAUAAAUCACUCUCAGCUUGUAAAUUGGAAUUAAAUAAAUCACUCUCAGCUUGUAAAUUGGAAUGAAGAUGGUUAGAGAAGAGUUGUGCAUAUUGGAUGAAAUGUGAGAAGGUUAUGUGUUGGAAAGGAGUGCUUAAUCAUUGAAAUGGCAUUUGCUGCAUGGAAAUGGAAUGAGCCGAAGGAGGUUCGCAUCGAAAGAACUGGAGAAUGGGGUAAUUCAAGAGAAGGGAAAAUCGAGAAGGGGGGCGCGGGGCACGAAAACGAGAGUGCGGAAGGGGAGGAGAAACAAUGGGCAGCGGAGUCGUCAACUGCAGGAUUUGAACCUGCGCGGGGAAACCCCAGCAGAUUUCGAGUCUGCCGCCUUAACCACUCGGCCAAAUUGACACGCGCCACAAUCUACAAUUCCGGCGACCCACGACCAUGCUGGGGAUCGAACCCAGAAUCUCUUGCUCCGUAGGCAAGCGCCUUAUCCAUUGGGCCACACGGUCAGCGCCCCUCGACCGACCACAAUCAGACCCCCCCGCUCAGGGUGGGCCAGGGGCGAAGCGAACUAGGGAGGCCGCAGGGUAGUCACCAUUUCCUUCGGGAGUUUGAACCCGACGUGAAUCGAACACGCAACCUUCUGAUCUGGAGUCAGACGCGCUACCAUUGCGCCACGGAUCCCACGGCGAUGCACGUCUCUCAUCCGGUUCUCAAUAUCAACCCAAUCCCGCCCCAGGCACCACUCACCGCCGCCCCCUCUGACCCCGCUGAGUGGCCCAUGCGCCGUCGCAAAUCCCUUGCCCCCUUCCCCCAGCGCUCCCUUUCCACCGGAUUCUGUCCCGGCUUUCGGUCCUGGGACUGCUUUUGUCCCUCGUUCCCUCCGCGCCACCCCUGGCUGCCUUGACGGAAUCCAUGUAUUUGGCUCCAUCCUGGCUGUAAUCCCACUCCCAGAUGCGCCCACUGUCCAGGUCUCACCAUCACCUUCUUUUCCUCGGAGCCGUUUCUGCAUUUGCCGCCGCUGCGCUCCACCAUGGUUGGGAUGGACCACGCUCCUUCCACGAGCCCCCAAACGUUCACUCCAAUCACCCCACGCAUUCUCAACUCCGCUCUCCGGUCAUGUCAACAACUGUGCACACAUUCAAACAGCUCUAUCCAAAAGGUGACCUUCCUCUCUGUUGACAACACCCCGUUCCACAUGAGGUGACCCGCUCAACCACACCGCUCCGUUGCCCCCAACACCUCCCGCAGUCGCUCACUCCUUCCUCCGACAUCACAAGUGAUGCACACAGCGCACAUCAUCAUCCGCGGGCAAUUCGAGGAUAUGCAACUAGCGUGUCCGUCUAACCAAGUUUAUUGACUGUUUAUGGAGCAUUUGGUUACAUCAAUCGUAUUAAGUGGACAUGUUCAAUCACAUGCUGGUCGUUACAUCGAACCUGAUUUGUUUUCUGCCGCUAGGUUUUCCAUCUGAUUUCGAAGCCCUUGUGGUACUUCUCGGAUGCGUUUGAUCAUGGCAUUUGGUAUGCCUUUCCUUUGCUUGUGUUGGAUUCACAACCAUUUAUUAAGGUAGUUGGUUUGAAAACUGCGUGUUGUGGGACCCAUCUCUUGUUUUGAGAGGGCAGCAGGUAUUUACAGUGAUAGUCCUUUUUGUUAUGAAGUCUAAGAAGUUCAGAUCAUUCAGAGGGAGGGGGGCAAUCAGUUGGGUGGAGUUGUUUGCUUGGCAAGGCUGACUCGAAGCCAGGAUUGGUGUGCCUAGUGCAUCGUCACUUAUCUCUGUAGGCAUGCUCCGGUCGAUGAGUAACCUCGUAAUCGAGGUGAACAAAAGCUCGUUCAAUCUCCAGUAGCGACUCAAGUUUGUCUUGAAGUGAUUCGCCAAUAUCAUGUGCCUGGCGCAGUGGCGUGUCCGCUGCCAGCACAAUAUCGACUUCUGCAAAGUAAUGUCACCCAAAGGUGUAUGCACGGACGGGGUCAAUUUGAGGCAUCUCCUUGUGAUGAUUCCAGCACAGAUAUGUCAAAUUUGACAAUUUGACAAGAGUGCCAAUUUAUUCUUCUUGUCUUGUUUUAAAAGUGCGUCGAUUAUUUCACUUCUAUUGUUGUGUUUGGAAGGUUGUGGGCUACCUACCUUUAAACAAAUGAAUUAAUUUAUUAAUAUUGAUUUUUUUUUAAUGAAAGUGAAUUACUCUUUUUUGUAGAAAUUUUCAUUUGAUAUUAGAAGUUGUCAAUUAUCUUAGUCUAAUUUAAUUUUUUGAAUUUAUUUGAGUUGUCUGUAGAAAGAAAAAUUAUGAAUGCUACUUUUGGUGGAAGUAAAAAUAGAUUUAUAACUAUUGUAGAUCUUCACAAGCUUCUCAAUACUCUUAGGGUAGAAAUUUUAUAUAUUUUUGAUAUGAAUCAUAAGAUAUUAUUUAUAAAUCCAAAGAAGAAGUUAAUAAUGAAGUUUAAAGUCUACACCAAAAAACUAUGUAAUUAAGAGAAGGAAGUAAAUCAAGUUUACAACUAAAUCGAAGGAGUUUUAUUACUAUAAGUGUAAGGGAAGCAAAGAUAAGUAUGCCCAAGAAGUUUGAUAGAACAAGAUAAAAAAUUUGACGAUUUUUACAAUAAAUAAAAAUUUAAUUUAAAGUUUCACCUUUCUCAAUAUCCUGAUGGAUUUACUCAAGUUGGAUUCAUAGAAGUAGUUCAUUUUAAAAUUAUUUUUUCAUGAUUUAUACCUUUGAUGAAAAAAGAUUCAUGACUAUUCUAUGUUUUGAAUUUAUUUUUGAAGGUGUUUAUGAUUAAAUUUUAAAAAAAUAAUUAAAAAAAGAUUGUAGAAAUCAAGAUCAUAUUUCUACAAUAAGAAUCAUUUUCAAUCACUACAUAUGCUACUAAAUUCAAAAAUCUUGCUUGUGACAUGAAUUGGAAUGAUAAAAUCAUUAACAAUUAAUUUUGAUAUGAAUUGAAAGAUAGUGUCAAAGAUACUGAGAGCAAAUUUAUUAGAAAAAUUUAUUCCUCAAGCCAUUACAUGUGACAAUUGACUAUUUGAAAUAUGCUAAAAAAAAAGAUUUGAUUAAAGAGGUACAUGUAAAGAAAUGGCAACAUCUUCAAAGUUUUUGGAAGCUUACUUAUCUAAACCAAAGCCUAUGCAAACUAAUACAAUAUUUUUUAAACUUCUUAUUGAGCAAAAUAAAAUUGGUUGUUAUUAAGAAGAUUUGUGCGUAUAUUACAAAGAAUCCAAACACACUAUUCAACAUUAUCCAAAAAAGCAAUGCAAUCACAAAUGAAAAGCAUGGUUGCCAAAGAAGAUGAUGUAUUAAAAAAUAAAUUUUUUCAGCUACAAUAAAGACUAUGGAGUUAGAAUCUUCUAUAAUAUUUAAAAAAUAUCUUAGUCUCUUUUUAGAUAUUUUGCCUUGUUUUAUAAUAAAAGUUUAUAUAGAAUCAAAAAAUCACAAAGUCUUAUCAUUAUUAGAUUUGGGAGCCUCAACGUGUUAUAUAGACAAAGAUUUUGUUAAAAAAUAAGAGAACUUGUUACUUAAGAAAACUUAAUCCAUACAUGUAGAAGUCAUAGAUGGUCAUUUUUUGUCUCUUAAAAAUAUUAUCCAUGAAUUUUUUUUCUUUUACAUAUAGCAAUUAAUGAUUAUAAUAGUAUAAUAAUAUUUAAUAUAAUAAGAUCUCUCUUUAAUUUGAUUAUUUUAAAUUAUCAUGGUUAAAAAAGUAUAAUCUUUAAAUAGAUUAGAUUUCUUAUAAUCUUAAUUUUUUUUUUAAUUUAAUCUAAAAUUUGUUAGUUAAGUAAAAAUAUAUAAAUUUAGUAGUAAAUAUAAGAGUUUUUAUAUAUGCAACAAAAAAAAGAUCAACUUUUGCUAUAUAUAUCAUGCCUAAUUUUGAUGGUCAAAAGACAUCAAAUGGUAUUCCUAACUAGUAUGAAGAUUUUUAGGAUGUUUUUGAAAAAAAAAUUGUAGAUAUACUAUAAGAACAUCAAUCCUAUGAUUAUUCAAUUGAUUUUCAAGAAGGAAUUCAACCACCAUUCAGACCAAUCUAUAGCUUAUUGUGAAAUGAAUUGGCUAUAUUUAAAAAAUACAUUAAUAAUAACUUGACUUAAAACUUUAUAUGUCAUUCAAAAUCUCUAGCAAGAGCUCUUUUUUUAUUUGUGAAGAAAAAAUAUGGAUCUCUAUAGAUGUGCAUAGACUAUUAAGGACUUAAUAAGAUCACUAUCAAAAAUAGGUAUUUCCUAUCCUUGAUUUUAAGACUUCUUAACCAACUCAAACAAUCAAAGAUCUAUACAAAAAUAGAUCUAUGAAGAGUAUACAACUUGAUCCAAAUCAAAAAAAGAGAUAAGUAGAAGAUUACUUUUUGAACUAAGUAUGGAUAUUUUGAAUAUAAUGUCAUGCUUUUUGGACUUACAAAUACACUAGUUGCUUUUCAACAUUUCAUGAAUAUUAUUUUUUGUGAAUUCCUUAAUUAUUUGAUCAUUUGUUAUUUAGAUGACAUUCUAAUCUAUUCUAAAAAUAUAAAAAUAUGAACUUUAUGUUUGUUGUGUAUUACAAAAAUUUAGAAAUGCAUGAUUAUAUAUCAAAAUAACAAAUUUAAAAAAAUAUAUUCUAUACUAUUCAAGUUGAUUUCUUAGGAUACAUCAUUUUCAACAAAAGACUAAUCAUAGAUCCAAAGAAAGUUCAAACUACCACAGAUUAAAAGAUUGGAAGAACAAUAAGAGAUGUGCAAUGCUUUUUGAACUUUAUCAAUUACUAUUGGAUCUUUAUUAAGAACUGUCUCAAGUUGUAGUUCUACUUAUACAUUUGGCUUAUAAAGACAAAUUUAAGUAGAAUAAAGAAGCCAAAGUAUUGUUUGAUGUUUUAAAUAAAGAAAUUAUUUUUGUACCAAUCUUAUAUUGCAUCAAAUUUUUUAAGGCAUUUUUUAUGGAAAUAGAUGCAUCAAAUUUUGCCUUAGAUGCCAUAUUAUUAUAAAUGGGAGUAGAUGACAAAUUUUAUGCAAUAGCUUUUUAUUCUAAAAAAUUCUCAACAUCAAAGAUCAACUACAUAAUCUACAAUAAAGAACUUCUUGCAAUUAUGAAUUAUUUUUAGGAAUGACAUUAUUAUCUAGAAGGUACUUUUAAUCUAGUCACCAUAUAUACUGAUCACAAGAAGCUUUAGUAUUUCAUGUCAAUACAGAUGUUGAAUCAUUGCCAAGUUUAUUAGAGCAUGUCAUUAUCAAGAUUUGAUUUUAAGAUCAAAUAUCAAUUUAGAAAAUAACAAGAUUUAUUAGACACCUUUUUUAGAAGUUCUUAUAUGGCACCAAAAGAAAAAAAAAUGUAACUUUUGAUUAUCAAAGAAUCAUUCUCUUUAAGCCCGUGCAUUUUCAUCUUCAAGAAAUAAAAUCAAAAUUGAUCCUUGAUUCAACCUUUGUUAAGCAAAUUCAAUCAAGUAUGUCUUUUGAUCUUCUUGUUCAUGAUAUCAAGAAUGCUUUUUGUAAGUCUCAUGAUACUUUUAAGUUUAAAUUUAAAAAAAACCUACUAUAUUUCAAAAGUUGCCUAUAUCUUCUAGAAAACAAAGUACAAUUACGUGUUCUUCAAAUUCAUUACAACUUUCUUAUAACUAGAUAUUUUAGAUAUAAUAAAUCUUUGGAGCUAAUAUUUAGAGAUUUUUGGUAGCCGCAAAUGUAAAAAGUUGUGAAAGACUUUAUAUAAUCAUGUGAUAUUUAUUUAAGGUCAAAAAUUCUUCAUCAUCAAUCUUAUAGAUUUUUUCAAUUAUUGCAUAUAUUAAAACAACCAUGUUCUUAUAUUUCUAUAGAUUUUAUUAUAGAUUUUUUAAGUUCAAGUUCAUAUGAUUAUAUAUUCAUGAUUGUAGAUCAUUUCACCAAAAUAGCAUAUUUUAUACUAUAUACAAAAUUUAUUUUAGAUGAAAAAAUAACUAAGAUUUUCUUGAUAAUGUCUAUUACUAUCAUAAAUUGCCAAAAGAUAUUAUAUGAGAUAGAAGGAUACAAUUUAUAUCAAGAUUUUGAAAAAACUUUUUUAAAAUAUUAAAAGUGGAUAUAAAAUUAUCUUUGAUCUUUUUAUCUUCAAAUUAAUCGACGAAUAGAACAAGUGAAUUAAAUUUUGGAGUAAUAUUUGAGAUGUACCAUCAAUUAUCAUUAAGAUGAUUAGAUAACUCUUUUUCCAUUGGCAAAGUUUACAUAUAAUAUUUUGGUACAAUCUUCUACUUAAUCAAUACAUUUCUUUGUCAAUUAUAAUUAUCAUCUAUGAUUUAAUAGUUUUGACAUUUCAAAAGUUAAUAAUCCUACAACAAAAUAUUUGGCAAAUUAUUUGUCAUAGCUAUAUGCAAUAAUAAAGGUGCAAUUAAAAGAAGCUCAAGAAUGACAAAAAAUAAAUACACAUGCCUAUUGCAAAGAAAAACUAUAAUUCAAUGUGGAUGACAAGGUAUAAUUACUUUGUUACAGUAUGAAAACUACUUCUCCUUGUGACAAGUUGGACUAUCAUAGGCUUGAAUCUUUUCUUAUUUGAGAACAAAUCAAUCUAGUUUCUUAUUGAUUACAUCUACAGGAGUUAAUGAAAAUUUAUUCGAUAUUCCACAUAUCUCUUCUUAAGCCAUAUAAGACAAUAGAUAUUUUGAAAAGACACAAAUGCCACCUCCUUCUAUGAAAAGAAUAAUAAUCAAGAAUUCAAAAUAGAAGAAGUCUUAGAUUCAAGGUGGUACUAAAAUAGAUUAGAAUAUCUUAUUCAUUAGCAUAAAUAUGAUAUAAAUAAACGCACAUGGCAGCCAUCAAAGAAUUUUGUAAAUGUAGCAAAGAUAGUUGAGGCUUUUCAUUGACAACAUCCAUCAAAAUUAAGAUGAAGAAAAAUAAUUUUUAUGAAAGAUGAUGACUGCUCAUCAUAGAAUUUAUUUCUAAAAGAGGAAGUAAUGUCACAAACAUACAUAUUUACUCUAAUGAUUAUUUAUAUGAUUAGAUAGAAUUAGAUAAAAUUAGAUUAAUUUCAUAUUAUAAAGAUUUAAAUUAAAAUAGUAUCAAAGACAUAGUAGAUUAAAUUCAUUAACAAGUCUUGUUUCAAGACUUUUUAAUCUUCUUGUGAUUGGCAAUAGCCAAUUUAAUUGAAUAUUUUAUCAUUUUUAAGUAACAUAAGAAUAUAUUAAAUAUUCUUUCUUUGAGAUUAAUGUCCUUGAUACUAUUUUAAUUUGAAAGUUAAUAAACAUAUAGGUACUAGUUAAUAUUAAGCUUAUAACUAAGCAAGAAGUUUCUAUGUAUUCAGAUAUGUUGAAUCUAAAAUAAAUUAUUAUUUUUUUUAUUUUUUCUUUAGGUAAAAAUUCUUAUAUUGAUUUUUUCAUAUUUUACUUUUCUUCAUAGAUCAUAGUGACUUUAUUAAAAAAUACUUCUAUUUAUUUUCUUUAUAGACCAUGUCAAAGAUAAAGUAGGAUUUUUCUAUUCUUACAAAUAAUCCUAGAUGGUUGCAAUAUGUAAAUCCUAUUAAUGGAUCUUAAUUGGUGAAUUGAUUUAUAAUAUAAUUUUAAGAUAUUUUAAUUAUAGCAAAAUUUAGAUUAAAAUUCUAUUGCUUGUUUAAAUAUUUAUUACAAAUUAAAAGUGUUUUAAGGUUUCAAAAGACUUAUUAGAGAAAAUAUUAUAAAAAUGGAGUCAUAGUUAGUAUUAGAGGCAAUUAUCAUAGUUGAUUUAGUAAUUUUGCUUAAUAUUAAAUAUUAAUAUACCAUAUUGUACAAACCAAAAGGUGAGACUUAUCCAAUUUGUAACUAAGACAUUGCAAAUGCCCUAUUCUUAGCUUAUGGCACCUUUAGUAAACAAUUGUGUUUAUCCUGUUUUCAUGCUUUCAUAUUAAUAUUCCAUCUUGUUUUCACAACUAAGCACACCAAUCCACCAAACCUGGCUUCGAGUCAGCCUUGCCAAGCAAACAACUCCACCCAACUGAUUGCCCCCCUCCCUCUGAAUGAUCUGAACUUCUUAGACUUCAUAACAAAAAGGACUAUCACUGUAAAUACCUGCUGCCCUCUCAAAACAAGAGAUAGGUCCCACAACACGCAGUUUUCAAACCAACUACCUUAAUAAAUGGUUGUGAAUCCAACACAAGCAAAGGAAAGGCAUACCAAAUGCCAUGAUCAAACGCAUCCGAGAAGUACCACAAGGGCUUCGAAAUCAGAUGGAAAACCUAGCGGCAGAAAACAAAUCAGGUUCGAUGUAACGACCAGCAUGUGAUUGAACAUGUCCACUUAAUACGAUUGAUGUAACCAAAUGCUCCAUAAACAGUCAAUAAACUUGGUUAGACGGACACGCUAGUUGCAUAUC